rnacentral:lncRNA from 1 species
UUCCAUUCACCUUCUGAUCCUCACCGAUCUUGCGGUGUACAUGUAUAGCCUCAGAAACUCAGCCACGACCAUAAACACAGGAUUGAAAAAGCAUGCAGGAAAUACAAAAAGUUGAGCGAUUAAAUAAAAUUAUUUACAGACGACACAGAUUAGGAUUGACGGGGAAGUGUGGAACCAGAAUUGACACCACCGGAGAUUCAGAAUUCAGUGGCUGCCUCAGGCUGCUCGCCGUGUCACCUCCUGCUGCUGUUGCUGCUGCUGAUCCUUCGACACAGACACGAGAACGAUGAUGAAGGCAGCAACAGAUGAAAGACAAAAACCCCAUGAUAUCCUCCUGAUGGACCUGACCUCUCUCUCUCUCUCUCUACAAAUUUUUAACAUUCAAUUUGAGUGUUGCAAAUAGCAAUAGGAUCAUCAUUUUAACAAGGUGACUUUUGACUUUGUUGGCCUUUUCCAUUUUCACUAAUCAAUGCUAGACUGUGAGUCGCAAGUAAAUAUUACCCUCCCUUUCUGGUUCCAUUUACAAAUGCACCACUUUAAUCCUAUCCUUAGAAAAUGAAAAGCUAAUAAAAACACUCAAAAUUGGGCCAUCUUAAUAUUAUGGACAACAAAAUUUAGUUAAUCGACGGCCUGGAUUAAUUUGAAGGAUUUUUUUUUUUAAAAAUACAAAUUUUUUAAACCACACACUUAACAAACUUAUAAAGUUCAACCAUCUUUUUCGUUCGUCUUUUAUUUAAUUAUGCUUGUAUGUGAUGCUAUGCUUUGAUUUGUAUUUAAAGUUAAAUUAUCGGAAUUAAAUACGGAGUUUUACUUUUAAAAUACAAACAUACUAACUACGCAAUUACAAGGCAUAAAACAUAAAAAUAUAUAUUUGUUAAUAGCCUUUGCCCUUGCGGUUACCCUUCAUUUUGCUUAAACGGAUGGACUUGCACAAAGACAAUUGCAGUUUAGAGUGAAUAGUAAAGAUAAUUUCACCGACCUUACUUUUGCCUUGCUCUUGCUUAAAACGGGUGGAGAUGCCUUGAUGACAAAGCAAAAGAGAUAUCGAGGAGUAAAAGGAAACAACAACAUUCCACAAUAAAAAAAACAGUGCCAAAUGUCAUCCACUUUCAGAAAUAGUGCAAAUAAUUGUAACUUUUCGUUUUGUUGAAGUAAAAUUCACAUUUACAUCUUCACGAAAUAUAAAAUGUGACCAGCAUAUGAUUUUUACAUUUUAAAUUUGCAGCUCGCAUGCGAAAUGCUCUAAGGAGGAACUUCGUCAUAAACACAGUAAUUUUGUGGAGUCGAGCAAAAUUUUUUUAUCUAGUGUUAAACUCAAAGAACACGUUGUAUAAAGUUUAUCCAAAGGAGUGCGAAAAGACGACGAGCAAAAGGUUGGGAAUAUAUCUAACAUCCAAUACUAGUUGCAAUGUUUUGUAAUUCGGUACUUAGCAAGUUUGUUCUUUAAAAAUAAAAUUUUGUAUUUAGCUCCGAUAAUUUAACUUUAAAUAUAAACCAAAGCAUAGCAUCACAAACAAGCAGUUAUAAAAAAAAAAACAAUUACCACGUGGCAGAAACCCAUUGCCACACCCAAAUUUCUUGGGCCAUUAUUGGCCGUUGAUUGAGUAGACAAGUGAUGGGAGGACAGAAGAAACUCAAAGUUCGAGGGUUCCAGAAACUCCGACGAUGGCAGGGAUUGGCUCUUGCUGUACAACUCUAUCCUCCACAACUUUGGCUGUAUUUCUGGAGAUGUAAUCUUCCUCUUAGCUGAUGUCCAGUUUUAUGUUUCUGGACCUUUGGAUGGACGUCUUGAAUAAAUUUUCCAUUUCGUACUGUUGGAUUGUUGUUAGUAAUUAAGUUGCAAAAACAUAUUGUUUUAUACGAGAGUUUUUCAAAAUUUAUGACACGUUUUGAUUCCGGUUCUUGUGAGUUAGUAAAAAUCGCAACUAGAAUAAAACAUGUUCUCUUUCUGAUUCGAAGCAUUUAGCAAAUAUCUCGACGCAAUUCCUUGGGUUGAUUCUCUUAUAUUUGUCAAGGAAAUAAACUCAUGAUUUUUAUUAAAUCCCUUUUAAUUUGCUAAACAGGUGUGUCUAUUUCUAUGUGCAAAAUAAACAGAUUAUAGAAUGUGAGAUAUGGAUUCGUAUCCAUUGUCUAUAGAAAAAAAGUGCGAAUGCAACAUUGUUUAUAUUCUCGAAUGCUAUUUAGACAUACAAAAUUGACGACAUUGAUAUGACAUUCUAACACAGGCUAAACAACAUUAGUCGUUUCAUUUCCAUUCUUAAACUUCUGCUCUAUGAACCAAAUGAUUUUUGUCUUUAUUUUUAGUAGAAAUGGUAUUUUACAGUAAUCUACAAUAAAAGGAGGGGAAAGGUUUGAAUCUAGAACAAUGUGAGUUGAAAAUGAAGAUCCUAACUAUCAGGAACCAGUUUUCGUUUCUCAUUUUUGCCUUCUUCCUGGGAAUGACAGUGAAAUUAAACAUAUAUACCCAAUAUUUAAAGGGAAAGAAAGAAUCUUCCAUUCAUCUUCUGAUCCUCACCCAUCUUACGGUGUACACCUAUAGCCUCAGAAACUCAGCCACCACCUUACACACAGGAUCCAAAAAGGAAAAACAAAAAGUUGACCUAUUAAAUAAAAUAAUUUACAAACGAGAGAUAUUAGGGUUGACGGGGAAAUGCGGAACCACAAUUGGCACUACCGGAGAUUCAGUGUUCAGAGGCUGGCUGCUGCUCACUGUGCUACCUCCUCCUCCUCCUCCUGCAGCUGCUGCUGGCCCUUCGCCGCAGACACGAGAACCAUGAUGAAGGCAGCAACAGAUGAAUGACAAAAAUCCCAUGAUAUCCCCCUGAUGGACCUGAUCUCUCUUGAUUCUCUCUCUGUAGAAAUUUUAUACAUGUAAUCUGAGUGUGCAAAUAGCAAUAAGAUCAUCAUUUUAACGUAAUAUAUAGAUAAUAUGUUGCGUUAAUAACAAGGUAACUAUUUUUAAUUACCACAGGGUGCACCAAUGGCUGGGGUAAAUUUUAGGUUUGUAUUUCACACGACACAUCUUGAAUUUGAAUAUUAGUAUUGGUGAAUCGUACGAUGAUGGCCAAAAGGAUGUUAAAAUGUAUCUAUUAAUCUUUUCGGCUUCUGAAAAAGUAGACUGUCAUAAAAAAAUCACCGACAAAUUUAAAAAAAAUAAAAAUAAAUAACAAGGUAACUUUUGUCUUGUUGAUCUUUUCCAUUUUCACAAGUAAAAUGCUAGACUGAGCAGGUCACAAGUCAAUGAAAAGCUAAUGAAAACACCGAAAGCAGGCCCUCUCAAUAUUAACGACAACAAAAGUUUUUUGGAUAAGCAUCGUCUGCCCUCCUAGUUGUGCCCUUUCAUACCCUCCUAUUUUGUGCGAUCACGUCAAGCCACGUUAAUAUUUUAUAUUAAUUUUUAAUAAAAUAAUAAGACAAAAAAUAAUAAAAAUAUAAAAUAUUAACGUGGCUUAACCGUGACCGUACAAAAUAGAAGGGCAUGAAAGAGCAUCACAACUAGGAGGGCAGACAAUCCUUAUCCUUAUUUUUUAACGUGGAUGUCACUUAAUAAUGUUUCUGAACGUCGAUGUCACUACUGGUUCUUUUUCCUCCUCGUGCUGCUGACUGUUCUGCUUAGUCUUCAUACUCCAUUACUUUUUGAAGAAAAAAAACGCUCUUACCACUUGCUUUGGUGUACGAAAGAAAUUUCAACUUUAUGCUCAAAGAAGAAUUUGGCAUAAAAACUUUGGACAAUGAUUGUCUGCCCUUCUAGUUGUGGUGUCCUUCCAUGCCCUCUUAUUUUGUGCGAUCACGGUUAAGCCACGUCAAUAUUUUAUAUUUUUAUUGUUUUUUGUCUUAUUAUCUCAUUAAAAAAUUAAUAUAAAAUAUUGACGUGGCUUAACCGUGACCGCACAAAAUAGAAGGGCAUGGAAGGGCGCCACAACUAGAGGGCAGACAAUCCUUAUCCAAAAAAUAAUGCAAUUAACUGUAAUUUUUUGUUAGAGUACAAUCAUAUUUACGUAGAUUUUUAUAUUUAAAAUAUGCAGCUCCCUUUCGAAAUGAUCUAAGUAGGAAUUCCGUCAUAAACACAGUUACAUGAAACGGCUACAAGAUAUUUUGGAAAUUACGUAACAAUUUUAUGGAGUUAAGCAAAUUUUUGUUGGAUAAUGUUAGGAUGGUCAAAAUUUUAAAUCAAAUUUGUAAAAUAAAUAAUGUAUUACCAAUAAAAAGUAAGUACAUUAAUUAACAAUUAAAUGAUAAUUCAAUUAUCAACAAACACAUCAUUUAAUUUACAAAAUUCAAUUUAAAAUUUUGAUUUUCCUAAAAUUACUUUUUUUUUUUAUAAAUCUGGUGUUAAACUCAAAGAACAGGUUGUAUAAAAUUUAUCCAAGAAAAAGACGAAAAGCAAAAGGUUGGAUAUAUAUCUAAUAUCCAAUACCAGUUGCCACGUGGCAGAAACCCAUUGCCACACACAAAUUUCUUGGGCCAUUAUUGGCUGUUGAUUGAGUGCACAAGUAACUGGGGAGAGAAGAAACUCAAAAGAUUGAGGAUUCCAGAAACUCCUUCGAUGGCAGGGAUUGGCUCUUGCUCUACGACUCUCUCCUCCACAAGGUAACUUAUUCCCUGUCUUUCUUUGUUUUCGUGUUGGAAAGACUGCAUUUUUACUAGGAAAAGUUCCUACUCUGAAUACUCUCUCGGAUUCUCGAUGGCGGGUUUUCUUGUUUGGUUGCUGAGAAAAUGUAGAAAAGUAAGAUUAUUGAACAACUAACAGAAUCUUUUGCUCUUUUGAAGCAUUAUGAGAUACAGAAAUACGUUCAACUACUCAUCUAGCCAGAUGUGUCUUUAGCUUGUUUUUAUACCACAUUUGAUGUGAACAAUCACAUUUGAAUUAAUCAGAUUUUUAAAUUUAGUUCAUUAUUUAAUAAACUAAUAAUUAAGAAAAACUAGUUAAUUAAAUGAUGAUUGUGGUAUACGAUGAGUCUUUUUCCUUCAUUUCCUUAGAUUUUGCAAAAUUUUUAAAUAAUGUGGCUGUCCACAUCAGAUGCACAAGGUAGUAUAGAAAUGUGGUAUUAAAACAUGGUAUAAAUAACAUUACUCUUUCCUAUAACCAAAAACGUUUAUGAUGGCGCUUAGUAGGAAAAGCUAAAAGUGAUUAUGACUUCUGGAGAAUCACCAAGUUCCAAGUGCUUUUCAGAAAAGCGCAUGUUGGAGAAUAGAAUCCCACAUCGGAAACUUCACAUAGGAAAAUUACACCUUACAUUGUAUGGUUCCAUUUCUAGCUAGUUGCACAGAGGCCAACAGCUGCCCAACCGUGUGGUGGUUCAGUUGGAACACUAUCGGGAGGUGAUUAGUAAUUUAGUAGUGGGCCGCUAGCUCGACUCUGAAAUCUUGACAACACCUGUUUCCAAAUGCUUUUUGAGCAGCACCUUGAAAUUGUACCAGAAGCCUAGCACUUGUUUAGGUUCAAAUCGCAUAUGCUUUACAAAAUUUACUCCUUAUUUUGUUACAUUUUGUUUCUUUUGGAUCACUUUGAACGCAGUUGGUAUCAUGGUAAUAUAUGUUAGUGAAUCUAGUGAAAUUGUUACACACACAAAGAAAAAUGAAGUAAGGGGUAAGAAAAUUUUUUUGACAGCAAUUUCUGCACAUCUUGGUUGAAACUUGGCACCCGUACUCAUGGUGGAGGAACCAUCUUAGGGCAACCAACCCGCCAUCGACAAAAAUUCUCAAUCAGAGCAGAAGUGAAUUUUGUAAGUGCAGAAGAAGCAAAAGAACUUGUUGCAGUUGAGGGAUAUACAGUCAUUGAUGUCCGGGACAAAUCUCAGUAUGAACGAGCUCAUAUCAAAUCUUGCCAUCAUGUGCCCCUCUUCAUUGAAAACCAAGACAAUGAUUUUGGUAAGCAUUUCUUUCUUGGACAACUCAUUUGUCACAAAUGUGGCGUCAUUUUUAUAUAAUAAUAAUAACCAGAACCGUUCGUUCUUUUUGUCAUCAUCUAAAGAUCAUCUUCAAAUUUUGUAUCUUUUGUAUUAAAUUUGAGCAUUUUAUGAUUUUCAUAACCGAAAUGGAAUUUGAUUUUGUUAAUGAUGAAUUAUGGGCAGGAACAAUCAUAAAGAGGACUCUCCACAACAAUUUUUCUGGUCUCUUCUAUGGAUUGCCUUUUACUAAACCUAACCCUGAAUUUGUAGAGUCAGUUAAAACCAAGUUCUCACCCGAAAGUAAAUUGUUACUGGUGUGUCAGGAAGGGCUGAGGUAAGUUUUUUCAUAUGUUAGCUGCUAUGUUUUUCACCUAGCAACCGUUUGACAAGAUCCUUUUGUUUCCUUUUAAUUUGAAGGUCUGCUGCUGCUGCCAAUAAGUUGGAGCAAGUAGGUUUUGAGAACAUAGCGUGUAUAACAUCAGGUCUUCAAAGCGUAAAACCCGGUUAGGAUUCGAGCUAGCUCCAAUGUCUUUUCGUUCUCUGGAUUAUGAUCUGUUAAAAAGAUUAUUUGGAUCUAAUGCGACCGUUUGCUACACCAGGAGAAUUUGAUUCAGCUGGUUCGACGGAGUUGCAAGAUGCCGGCAAAGCCGGAUUAGUCACUGUUCAGGGAAAGAUCUCAGCUGUGCUUGGAACAGUACUAAUCUGUAAGUCCUUAUGAAUUUGACCUUAAAAGCACUUUUGUUCUGUUGGUCCAUGAGGUGAUAUUUUGAUCUCUGUUCUGAUCAAAUGGCAGGUGCAUAUUUGUUCAUCACCUUCUUUCCCGAUCAAGCAGAGAAGAUACUCGCAAUUUUCGCGGCCAGCUAGCCCGAAUGCGGUGCAUACAUUUAUGAGGAAGUUUUGCAGAUCCCUCCAACCCCAUCAAGAGAUUUGAGUAGGGAGAGAUUUUUGAGGCAUGUGCUGCUCUGCAACAAGCUGUAUAAGGUUCAGAUCAUGAUAAAUUGUCAUACAUAUUCAUCAUUCAACAGGUUUUUGCUGCCUUAUUCAGGUUCCAAACCAGUAAGAUCAUGACGAUAAUCUACACCAAUACACGAUGACGUUCCAACUAUAAAUAAAAUUCAUAUGACGAGCCAUAUCACUAUAGAAUUACAAGCUAUAAACCAAAACCUCGCGAAAGGGAAAGAAACUCGAAGGUUAGAGUCGAGAUCCAAUAUUCUAGACCCACGAAAGAGGAAAAAGGAAAAUUCACAAGGCUGUGAACCUAGGUUGACAAAAUAUUACAGUAAGAUUUUGUUUUCUUUACCCAAAAAAUAUUACAAUGAGAUUAGCAAAUGUAUUCUGAUUCCAUCCUGUGCACCGUGUAUCAAUGCAUAAAUUAUGCAGGGUACCAUACCAUUCCACAGUACUUAGGGUUGAUCCGCAGCUGCCAACGGCACGAUGAGCAUGAUAGGAUUGAAGGAUAAAACAGCCAGCUUCUUUCUGCACCGCUCUUGUUCUACGGCAUUAUGAUGCACAAAAUCAUUCUCCUUGUAGGCAAUAGAGCUGACGGAUGUUUCCAGAAGCUGUCAAAUGGGUUAACUAGAUCAGCUUUUAAACAACAUCCUACUUAUCUACAAUAAAAGCUCAUGAAAUUACAUAUAAUGGUAUGUAUUUGGCACAAUUUCAACUCAAUAAUAUGCAUUAUGGUUCAAAUAAAGCCACAUAAAAGAGGGUAUUAAAAAAUAGUAUACUAUUCAGAACGUUAAACAGCAGUAUAUGUCGCUUGAAAAUGCAGUUUCAAAAUACAGGAUAUGCCAACUAACUUUGUUGUGCAAAGUGCUGAUGAUGUUCCAAGAAAUACAAUGUUCUAGCACGUGUGUGUCAACGUGUGGAAACUAUUGUAAUAAUGAACAUUACCAUAUAACCAGUCUUUAAAAUAUACGUGGAGAGCAGUUGAUAAUUCCCGCUUUCUAUUUUCUUCAAGAGGUGCUUCCCUCAAUAAUUGCUUUACCUCCCCAAGAUUGUUCUGCAGGAGAAAAGGUUAAACAUAAUUAAAACAUAAAUAACAUUGACCACCUCAAUCAAACAUCAAGGAAUUCUUAGUAAAACAGUAAGAAAAUAUCUAAUGACUAAACCCAAAUAUAAAAAUAAAAAUCUACACUAGUGUUAAGCCGGAGUAAGCAUACGUUUCUCUGCUGGGAAACCAUGUAAGCAUCUGGUAAUGGAAAUGGGUUGUCUUUUGUGGAGCCCUGCGAUUCACCUCCAUACCAGUUUGGAAUCUGAAUAUAAAAGAGACAUAUAGGAUGUAACUAGAUAAUUCAGAAAGAAAAUGAGUAAUUGUACAACCAUUGCCAUCUCAACCACCCUAAGCCAACCAAAUGAAGAAACAUACUCAUAAAUACAAUUGUAAUGCCCCUAAUGUGCGUGACUUUGUCCGAAGACUCUGUUGGUAGAGCUUUUCUCUAUUUAAUUUCCAAUGAAAAACUAUUAUUUCAGAAAACUAAGGAAACCCCUUUAAUACAGUAUAAAAUCUAAAUUAAAAGCUUGUAAAGAUUAUAAUACCAAGAAAUUUGUGAACUGGUCGGCGUCUAAGUGUGCAGCAGACUCAGCCUGAGCCUCAGAGACACCUGCUGGAUGAGAUAAUGAAUCAUGUGGGUCAACCACUCCAAGUGGCAGGGGCUCAUCCCAUCUGUUGAUAGUAGCAUCAACCCCAACUUCCUUCAUGUGCUCCUCCAACUGACUGUAAAAUGUAUUGUAUGGUGCCACCUGAUAAAAGCCGAGGUGAAAACAAAGAUCAGAGCAUGUUAAAUCUUCAUUAGAACUUGAAAACUAAAACACACAAAACUAUGAUCAUAACAAUAUAUAAUACUUAUUAUGAUCGAAGAAAUCAAUGCUACAUUUCAGUAAAAAAAAUUCAAUUUUGUCUACUCUUAUAGUCAUAUUGUAUUCGAUUUGACGCCAAAGGUUCAACAUAACAAAAGCAUGCAUGCAAACCACUAUUCAAAAAUAAAAAAUAGCAACUACAUGCGUCAAGGCUGUCAGCAAAGAUCAUUUUAAAAGGAUGUGCGCCUGUGUGUAGCAAGGGCAUCUUGACUAUAACUUGGUAAGUUCCACAUUUUUUUUUUCCAACUGAACAAAUUGAAGAGUACAGGAAACCCUAGAUGCUUGAAUGUUAGACAGAUCAAGAGCUACAAUAUCUGGGGACAUGCUAUCAAAUGUAGAAUGGAAAGAAAGUUCCCUUCUCUUGAUAUGAAUCACAAUAGAACCAGAAGAGUGGCCAAUAACAUGUCAAUGAAACAUAUUGUUAAAGUUGGAUGCAUAUAUGACAUUACCGAAAAAAGUCAUGGAGAUUUACAAAAAACCAAACAGGUUAAACCAAUAUACGAGCAAACCCACAUUAAGAUUAGUUGUAACAAAACGAAUCCACAUUAAUAUAAGUUGCAGAAAAAACAGAAAUUGGGGGAACUCAAUCAAAUGUAGAUUAAAAAAGGUCGUACCCAGUGCACAAGGCUCCCGCUUUACGCAGGGUAGUGUGAAAAUUAAACUGCAUGAGUACUGGCUAGAAACACAAUUGUGCAAUCAAUUAGGGCAAGAUUCACCUGCAGCUUAUGGUUAUCACCAACAAUAAGUGGUCGCUGGUUGACACCAAGGAAAAACAUGCAUUCGCGGCAGUUAGCAAUGCAGAUUCGAUUUGCUGCUGUAAUCACAUGAACUCGCUCACAGUGUUCGAUUCUAACAGCCUGUAAGAGACAUUAGACAUCUAAGCUAUAAGAUUCAAGUUAACCAGGUGACACAACUACCGAUGUUCAUUGCAUACAAAACAGUAAUUAGUUGGCCACUUCACAUGACAAUAUACAGACAUUGGACUAAUUCAAAUGUUCACUAAAGGGCAAAACAUCAGGCCUAAUUAGACGUAACAAAAGUUAUUACAUUUGAUUAACCAAACCAUUAUGUAAAAUCUGUAACUUAAAAAACAAGUUGUGCAAGAACUUUGAUAAAGCUUUGCAUAACCACCACAUAAGAAGCAUAUAGGUAAUUCACAGGAACACCAGUCAACUCAUCAUUUCACAAACAAAGAUCAAGAGUAAUUAUCUGUAGUUGUUAGAGAGUGAUUCAACCCAUUAUACAUUCUACCAGACAAACAAAAUUCAAAAGCCUUCUUUUUCAUUGUGUUAUAAACUUGCAUGAUCAUUUCAUUGACUUUCAGAAGUCAACUGCAAACUUUGUAUUUGUGAUAGGAAAGGGUAAAAAUGAGUGCCAAAAGAAAGUGACUUGGCAGGCAUAAGCUUAGUGGGAAUGAAAUGCAACAUGACUACUUGCAAAGUCGAACUGAAGUUAUCAGUUAGUAGCAUUACCGCAAUACAUCAAGUAACCAAAUUCUACCAUCUUAUCUGAUACCAAAUUUUUAAAGAUGAAGGAUAAACAAAUCCACAGAUCUUUACAGACCACAAGUCAAUCAUUCUGAUAUGUUUAAAUUUACUAGAGAUAGAAAAGUAUUUCCAAUUCUACUAUCAACAUCAGUACCACAGGUAUAACCUUUUCAGUAUCCAACUAUAUAUUAGGGAAUAAUUACAGAUAUCACAGCAACAGUCAAUAUCCAAAGCAUAAAUACAAAUGUCUUUCCUAUUACCUUUCCAACAGCUCCAAGAACAAUUGUAGCAUCAGAGCAUCCAUAAACUGUGGCAUAUCUCAGAGGUGCUAAUAUGUAGAUAACUGAAUCGUGGCAAUUUAAAACCUGAAAUUGCAAACAAGUUACUACCAAGCCAAUAUACCUCUUAGAAGAAACACUCCUAUUUUAGUUCACCGCUUUUAUGCACAAAGCAUGUAAAGGAACAUGUUGAGAAAAGAUAACAAUAAAGCUGACAACUUGACAAAUUGAUUAACCAAGUGCAUUAUUAAGUUCAAUGAUCUUUAUAAUUAAGAUUAGGAUUAAACUGAAUGAGCAGCUACCUCCCUUCCUUAAAUGCAUAAUGGCAGGACUCAGCAAACUCCAAACUUAAAAUAAAUACAUAAAUAAAUAAAAGUGAAAAAUGCAUCGAUGGAACAGUUAGCCAAUUUGGAAACCAAAAUAUAGCAUAGCAAAACCUUCAAUCGAUCACACAUAUAACACAACAGGUGCAUUCCCACAGCCCCAAGAGUGAAUCCCCAAUGUGGCAUGCAAUAAGUUAUUAGAAGCUCAAAGACAUAAUGACUUGAUUCUUGUGUCUUAUUAAUAAUUGGGUUCUCCUCAUUUCCUUCUUUCUGGUUCUAGCUCCUGAACUUCUAGAAGCGUUAAAAUAUGAAACAUCCCGUAAAUGUAGAACAGACAUCAGAGGAAAAAAGAAUAGAUUUUACAUUUUUAUAAACUACUUACAAGAAACCAUAAAAAUAUGUCUUAUCAUUCAUGAACCAACCUUUACAGAAGAACCUUUAAGAUCAGAUGUUCGCUUUACAAGUGAUGACUUGGAGAUCCCCUCAAUAAAACUUGGGCCUCUGACACUUGAUGAGCCCUUGUUUGAACUCGUGCAGGCAUCAGCCAUAGGAACAUCUUGGUCUGAGGAACUGGGUGGCCCGUUUUCUUUUGGAGAAAUCCUUUCCGAAAUAUGUUCCAAAGAUGAGACCAUAUUCUCUAGAACCCAAUCGUGAACUUGCGCUGCAGGAACAGGAACAGCAGGCAUAUCAGGAUCUGAAUUUGCAAAAAAAGGAGCGUGUUGGCUGAAUUGAUUUCCUUCAGAUCCUUUGUCACCAAAGUGAAGCAGAAACCCAAGGUGCUCAAAUUUCUCCAUGGUCAAAACCUAUAAAGGGUUAAAUCAGAUCAUUAAGUGGGCUUGGGAGAUACCAACAAAAAAGAUACAACUACAAACUCCAUAACAUAAAAUAAAAAUAAGAAAUCAGCACCGGUUGUCCAUGAUAAAAAUACAAGGAGACAUUAGUUAUUGUGGCCAACUUAUUGUCAUCCAGAUUAACUGUUCUGCCAGUACCUUCUUUAUCAACUGCAAUGGCCACCAAAAGAAGAGGAAAUGUCUAUCCUUCCUUUUGCGACUUUAAGACGCAGCAACAUGCUAACCAUGUGUUGGAUUUACUGAACUGCAUUUCCAUUCCAUUAAAUCUGUCCUACUUUACGUCUUUUUAGAUUAAUAAUAAUCAAACUUCAGUAUGUUUCAUGCAAUUGGAAUGUAGAAUGUAUGGUUCAUGGUUCACACUUCAAACAUCCCAUAAAGAAAUCACUUCCCACAAAUACAAAUGUUCAUAAGUGAUGAUAAUUGGUGUUGCACUUAUGACCGAACCAAAGCAUGAAUUAAGGAUUUGGGUGGUGCUCACAGUACGAAUGGUGUUUUUCAAUCAAAUUGGAGAAAAGUACCAGCAACUAUUAUCUUUAAUACAAUUUACUUUUUGGUAGCCAAAAAGGUGAAUAAUUGACUCAACCAACAAAGAUUUAAUAAUUUCACAUACCAGAGAUUCUUCUCCUUCCCCCUCCACAGAUUCUGCUAAUAAAGAGACAAGGUUGGCCAAAUGCUUUUUCAAAUAUGAUAACUGAUGUGCCUCUUCAUCAGCCUGUGAUGGCAUAAACCGACGGCUAUUGCUACGCACAAGCUGUCAUGUGUUGGAAUUCCAAGGUUGAUAUAAGUUUAAUCCAACAAAAUAAAUGUCUCAAAUCAAAGUUCCGAGCAAUUAAAUAUAAAAAAACGAAAAGUUUCAGGACACAAAUGUUGCAAGUUAAAUAGUAUUGCCCAAAUUCUGAUACUGAAAAAUGUUGUACUAUGUACUACAAAAAUUCAUCCAAGUGUAAUCAACUCAACAAAACCCUUGCUCUAAAAGUUUAUAAUCAACCUCGUGAUUACCAUUUCGCAACACAAAGAGUACAUAAAGCUAAUUAAACCGGGGUGGACACAAUGUAGCACUGUCAUUCCAAAUGAAUCUAAACAUACACAUCCUGGAAGAUAAAACUAGGUGGUCCGCUCACUACAAGCCAAGAUUAGGUACUUGAGCAUUUUACGUUUAGUGCAAUUCAAUCCAACAAUGUAGCAGACAAUGCAACGAAUUGUUACAACCCCCACCCCAAGCACGCAAUUGAUCAAAACUCCAACCAAAACACAAUGAGAAGUAAGAUUAGUCAAAUACUAACCACAAUAAGUUCAAUAAUGGAUAGAUCAAAUGGAAAUAUAUUCCAUUUCAAUCCACAUUGUAUUCCAAUACUAACGAACACACACAAAGUCAAACAAUUGACCUGAAUAAUCCCAUUUUCUACAUUGCAGCAAUCUCAUGUCAAGAAAACCAGCGUCUUGAAUAAAAUUGCCAACCUUUUCAACUUAAUUAACCGAAAUCUAACCAAAACCAACCGGCAACCAAAUUAAUUAAUCGCGGCAAACUCCAUUUCUAAUCCACACGCAUUGCACAAUGCACCACCAAUUAACUAAAGAAAGAAAACAAAGAUCAAUUAAGGGACAGCUUCUCACCUGCAAUGGCGACAAAGCGGACAGAUACCCAUCGAAAGCCGACGUCGAAGGCCAGACAUCGGCGACGGCAGCCGAGUCCUUGUGCGUCCGCGGCAGCAACUUCUUAUACGACUGAAUGUAGAGGAACAGAACCAGAUCAUGCACAUCGGCUCCAGCCUCGUCAAUCCCAUCUGGCUUGGCUUUCACGAGCGGGUCGGACUCCGAGUGCAGAACCGACGCUAGGGUAUCGAGGACGAGCUUCGCCUGAUCAAUGGAGAUCUGGAGAGCCUCGGAGAUCGCGGCCGAGUCGACCCGGUGACUGGGCGACUUCUCGAUCAGCUUCUGCUUCAGCGGAAUCAGGGUUUGGGUCGGGUCGGUGAAGAUUAGCUUGGGGAUGGGCAGCAGCCCGUGCUCGAACGGCUCGCGGCGCGGGUGAAUCAGGAGGGCCGGGUCCUUGGCCGAAGACGACGUCGUUGCGGGCUCAAUUGGGUCGCUCAUGGCUUCUUUUCUCAGGAGGCAGCAAAACGCAGAGUUUUUGUGUAGACAGAGAGAUUUGUGAGUUGCAGAUCUUCCAGAAAUGAAUAACGAGAGAGAGGUUGAGGAGAGAGUGAGGGAAUGAUCCGGUGCGAUUCGGUGCACGGAAGGUGAACCGCGUGGAUGUGUUAAUUGGGAGUUGGGUUGCAAUCAUCAGUACGUAUUUUUCAAAAACAAAAAAAAUCAGCUGCUAGUUUUGUCGCGGCAGUUCAUUCUAUCAGGUUGAAAAAAUUCAUAUAGGUAUUUUAGCCUUCUUUUGAUUAAUAAUGUGUGAUUUAUCAGUACUAAAAAAUCAAACUCAAAAUAUACCGUGUAAAUACAUCUUGAAAUUCAUACUUAACUACUGAAUCACCCUCUGACUAUCAUCAUUACGUUGAAUUGUGGCUAAUUCCAAGAGGUUAGUGGAGAAGAAGUGGAUUAAAGAGGGGGCCGUGGCCCGUAAUGCAUCGGACAUGUGUAUGACCAUUUUAAAUGACAUCAACUAAAUUAUCGACAGCUAUGAUUUUCUUUAAUCUUUUGACCAUAAAGUUGCAAGGAUUUCAAACGUCUUAAUGUAUUAAAAAUGUCCCUCUCUAAUUUCGUUAAAUCUAAAAUUGCCCUCUUAGACCAUCUCCAACCCUGGGUUAAAAGCCAAAUUACCCCCCAAAUUACUCUCCCAAACACUCUCCAACCCAUGCUAAAAUUUUAGGCUAAAUGCCAAAUGCUAUUUCUGGGCCAAAUACCCCUCAACUUUCCCCCCGGGCUAAAUGCGAAAUGUUUAUCGGAAUUUAAAUUUUUUUAGAUCAAAAUGUUCAUAAAAUUAAUUUACAAUAAUCUACAUAUUUAUUUUUUUUUUUUAAAUUGAUUUAAGAAAAAAAUUUAGGCUAAUUUCAUUAUUUAAUAAUUCCGGGCUAAAAUUUUAAGGUAGAAGGGUUGGAGCAGAAAAGAUGUUUCUGGGCUAAAAGCUAAAUUUUCCGGGCUAAAAAAUUUGGCUUUUAGCCCAAGGGUUGGAGAUGGUCUUAAUGAAACCAGAAAAAACAUUAAAAUUACGAAGGUGAAGUGUUGAUUUAGUUUUUGAAUUAUCAUCUCAGUGAAAAUUAAGUUCCUGAAUUAUUUUUUCGGUAAAAUAAGUCCCUAAAUUCAUUAAAAAUUACUAAUUUCAUCCCUACAAUUAUAUUCAAAGCUAUUUUAUCUAGUUUUUCUUCAACUUAAGUCACUAGACAUACUUUAGAACGUAAUACCAUAAUUUUCUCUCCUAUAAGACCUUAACAUUACAUAUAGGUUGAGAAUCUAACGUCUAAUUGACCCUCCAAAUUUAACUCGAUACACUAUUUUUUUAUGAAAAAUUACCAAUCUACCCUCCAAUGUGUAUCACAUGCAAGUAACGUGACUUAAAUUGAAGGAAAAUUGAAUAUAGUAGCUUCAAAUCUAAUAUUAGGGAUGUAAUUGGCAAAUAAUUGAUUUUUCUGAAGAAAAAAAAUAAUGUAGGGACCUAGUUUUCACUAAGGUAAUAAUUCAGAUAUUAAAUUGGCAAUUCACCCAAAUUACAAUUGUUACAGAAAUAAGAGAAAAAAGUAAAAACAACGCUAUAAUGUCCUUUACGUUUUCAGCAUUCACAACACAAAGUUUGCAAUUACACAUAGAGGAAAAUAAAUGCGGACUCGAACAUGGAGGAAGCAGUUUUGCGAGAGAGAAAUAUAGAACAAUUCAUAUGACAAUCUCAUUGAGGGUGGAUAGUUAUUCAAGGAUCAUGUUUUUUGGGAUAAGACGAAGUAAUAUGCCGCUCGAAUUUUUUUAUGUGGGAGAAUUCGGCUCCAUAACCGCCAUAUGGUGUCGGAGUUGUUCUGAUUCAUGUGUGGAACAUUAGGAGUCGUCCCAACGUACGUAUUUAUCUAAAAUUUACUUAUACGGCAUGCCCCAUGUCUUGUUACGGGCUAAUAGUAGAGGAUGACAAGUGUGGGCUACCAAGGUUUUGGUAGUGACUUUGUUUUUAGCUUGUUAGAGUGGUCUUGGUGUUGGCUGGAAACCUUAGGCUAGCAGUUAAUGAAGCCAUUAUGGAGUGUAUCCUGAAAUAAUAUGUUGUUCUAGCAUGUUGUGCGCCGUUUUAUAUGAGUUCGGAGAAAGAAAUUGAAGAAUUCCGCGGAGAAUUUCAGCAAGCUCAACGAGUGGUAAAAUUUCGAUAAAGUUUUCCACGUAGCUCCGAAUCACAUUCGGCAAAAUUCUAUAGAAAUCUAACAUUUGUAUAUUCGUGAUAGCAUAUAGCAUUCUGAGAAGGUACAGUUUAAACUUUCAAUUUGGUAGUGCUGUUGCGACAUGCUGGUUAGGCUGGUUUAUCGUUCAGCUUCUUUGCAUGCUAGAUUUGAGACUAAUAUGUCUUGUGGAAAAUUAUGGAAAAAUAAUAACAUCAUUGUAAAUGUAUUUCUUAGCUUGCCAGGGGUAUAAGGAACGCCAUUUGGAAAGAAGUCGAGAAGGCUUAAAAUCUUUGUUUUCCCAUAUAUGUGCAGCUUUAAAGGGAAUGCAUUUUUUACUAUCUUCGUUCGAAAAAAAUUGAAGGAUAACUAUGACGAAAAGUCUGAAAACUUGACACAACGAUCUUCAAUGCCUUAUGAUUCUUUCCCAACUGGUUGUGCGUUAAUAUUCAUUUGGAAAUUCAACUUUCUGGUAGAAAUCAUUUAAGUGCACAAAAUGGGUUUUAAGGCAUGACCACCUUGCUCCCAUAGCUUUGUGAGAACUUGCCCCAAUCGGAGUGUUGAUCAACAUGGAUUGAGUUGCAUAUUUAACUAGUUGUAGACUUCAGACAAUAGGUUUGCGAGUUGAAUUUGUGAUGCGGUGUUGGUCCGCACAGAGCCGAACCUGCAUUUUCGACCUGACUUGGAAGUAUGGUUGUCACUCCAUCUUAAAGUUCAUACUUGUAAGCUUUUUUUAACCUGAUCAUUCAUGCAAGCUUCUUUUGGAAUAAGCCAAGUCCACUUUUGCUACUCCAUGUCUUGUGUGCUAGCGAGUCUUUCCAAACUAAGCAUUUUAGUCGAAGAUUGUGUCGCAAAAUGGUGCUCCAUGUGUUGGAUCUUAUGCCGAUGGUGUUGCUCAUGGCAGAUGUCGUUGGCCAAGGGAAUAUGAUUCUUCUUCUAGGGAAAACACUAGUUGUUGGAACCAAAUUUGCACACAUCUGUGGAUAGAGACGGUAUCGAAAUCACUCAUUAACUCUGCCAAGGGGUGAAUGGGGGGGGGGGGGGGGGGAGGGGUUCAUUAAGAGGUGUGAUUGAUUAUGGUUCGGGCUUCCUACAUAUCUUUGUGGUUGGAGAAUCAAAUCACGUGUAGUUCUAAGAAAGAAGUGGUGUGAUGUGUGCUACAUCGUGAACCAUCCUUGACAAAGAUCCCUAACUUAGGCAUGUUGGAGAUGUUUCUCCAUGUCUACCGUCUACGCGUAGAUGAAUGGAGUGUAGAGAAUAUGUUAGCCUAUGUUAGGCGUAGAGAGAAUGUGUGUUGUGACUAUUAGAUGAUCAAAAAGAAGUCUGGAAAUUAAAACUAUGUUUGGAUGAGGGAAAUAAACUUGGAAUUUCAAUAAAAGUUAGAAUUUUAUAAAUUAACAUGCACCAAUUCUCUUGUUUGGCUUCAUAAACAUAGAAAUUUCGAAUUUCCACGUGGAAAAAAAAAACUUGGAAUUUGGGACCUCCAAUUCCCAAUUUUAAAUUCCAUGUAAAUAUGUGUUAUUUCCCAAUUUCUAUGAUUUAAGAGUUUAAAAAUAACAAAUUUCGUAUUCAAUUCCAUUAUUCUUUUAGGUUAAUCAAACAAGAAAAUUCACAAAUUCUAUAAAAUAAAUCUCGUCAUUUCAAUUUCCAUCAUUUUAAAAUUCCUUAGGGAUCUUAAAUUUGUUCAUCCAAACAGAGUGUAAAGAGAUUCCCCUAGAUAAAUACCUAGCCUGGACAUUUAUAAAGGUCUUGAGAGAAUAAUCCAUACUAAAUCGGAAAACUAUUUAUGAGGAAAUUUAGGAUAAGCAAAGAGAGCAAUGGGAUCUUUAUUCUAUAAAAGGGAUCCUUCACUUUCACUGGGAAGAGAAGCAAAGAGAGCAAAGGAGGGCAGAAAGAAGAGCAAAGAGAGCAAACCCUAGUCUCUAUAGCCUCUAUGUACAUUGUAACCUUCAUUGAUAUAGUGAAACCAUAUUGACACCAAUGUGGACGUAGCCCCAACUUAGGGUGAACCACAUUAUAUCUUUGUGUUCUUGUGCGUUUGUGUGAUUCACGGUCGAAUUUAUAUCGGUCCAAGUUCGACCCAAUUUUCUGCAUCAAUAAUGUCCAAUCCUUCUAGAAUUAUGAUUAUGUUGCCUAAUCCCCAAGGUAUCCAAAUUCGACAUGAAUUUGGAUUUUCUUACUUGGGAGACAACUAAUACUUAUAAUGGCGUUAAGCCUAGCCUGUCAGACUAAGGUUGUCUAACUACAUGUUCCAACUAGUUAGCCUGUUGGAAUAUCUUACUCCAAUUUGACUAGGAAACUUGACUAGUUUGAUUGUUUGAGCUCCAUGGGCUAUAGGCAUUAUGGUCAUUCUCGCCACUCGGGUGCUAAGUGUUAGAGGCGUAAAAUUCAUGGUUACACAUAGCCGAUUUCUACAAAACUACAACCUCAAACCACUACCAAUAGAACCAGUGAAACCUGUGGAGUGUAGUUGUUGUUUUGCAUGUGGGUUUGGAUGUCAGGAAGUUGAUAGACUCAAGAACUUUAGUUCACCAAUCUCUCUAACGAAUUUCGGUUGAAACACGAUGAAAUGGCUAACUGCUUCCAAGUGUAAAAAGCAUGGGUUGCAUGUUGUUUAUGAAUUGAAAUCGAGAGUUUUAACUUAUGUGUACCUAUAUGUUCAUUUCCCCAGUUUUUUACAAGAGAAAACAACCAAAUUUCAACGAGUUUGUUGAAGAUCUUGAAGUCAAAUGAUUAUAUAUAGGUUCUACUAAGUAUUUCAGACCUUUUGUGAAGUUUUGGGUGGAAAAUCCAUCAAAAUGAGCUAAUUUGGACUUUUGAAAUAAUUUAUGGAAAUUCUACAGAAUUUGCUCGAAGAUUCCUAUGGCGGAGCAUGGCAGUGGACUUAACGACAUUAACAUCGAUAGCGGCGGAAUCCGUUAGUUCUAACGAAAUCAUUGAUGACAAAGGUAAAUCCUGUCAACUUCUCCUGUUUGCAUGCACAAGCACGUUUACUCACCUCACUCGUGAGUAAGUGUGCACUAGGUGGCACGUGGCAAUGUCUGCAAUGACGUACUCGCCGACAACAGCUGCAAUGAUAGUGGCACCAACAACCAGAUGACAUAUGGCGGCUUGUGACCAUUUAUAUUGUGGAGCGUGACGGCUUGUGAUGUGGUGCGUAAGGACCUAAGACUUAACCUAAGGUUUGUCGACAUUUUAAAUCACAUCAUGCACUCCAUUUUUACUAAUUCGGAGGCAUUUUCUAGAAUAGCAUCACCGUUUCUAGAAAAUCGUAUCAUUGAUUUUAGAAACAAUGUGACCAUUUCCAGAAGUAUUGGCACUAGGGGUGGGCAGGGGCCGGGCCAGGCCCAAAUUUGAAGGGACCAGACCGGAUCCGGGUGCAAAAGAGACGGGUCGGGGAUUACAUUUUCUUAUAUAGGAACCAGACCUUACUCGGCUCGGUUGAAACGAGCCGGAUCGGGUCGGGUCCAAGGGUCUUUUUUUUUCGAAAAAAAAAAACUAGAAUUUGCAUUGAUUGCACAGUUUCACCAGUGCAAUAGAUUAUGCAUAGGAAACCCAAAUUAUGCAAUAGGGAGCCCAGAUAAUGUAAUAGGAAAUAUUUCAAAAUAUUUCCAAUUCCAAAUGCACCCACUUCCUUAUAAAAUCUUGAGCAUAAACAUCUUCGAACAAAGCAGAUCAAGACUUAGUAGAUUAAUACUCACAACAGAAACCCAGAUAAUAUAAUCCACAAAAAAUUGAAGCACAUAGCUAAAUUAACAAAGUUUAAAUAUUUAGCAGGUCAUUAGGUAUAUAGGCAUCACAAGAAAUCCAUGAUAAAUACGAAUAGAUCUCGAUAUGAAAGCCCUAAUACGAAGCUAAGAGUGACCUAACACAUAUGAUGGCCAUUUCAAAACUUGUAACACAUACAUCAAAAUUCCUAACAACCAGUAAGUCCUCACGUAUGUGCUUCUGCAAGAUAUAGAAAGUAAUGAAAUCUAGAACAGAGUAUCCAAAACAUAAAUAAUUCACCUAUACAAAUCACACCAGAAUGACUUACUCUUUCAUCAAGAUUACUAAGAAACUUCACAGCACGCAAGAUGGGGCAGAAAAGCCGAAUCUCAUUCAUCCAGUUUCCAAGAGUUAACUUUGGAGCAACCACCAUAUGAGGGCCAAUUAUUCCUCUAAACUCAUGCAGGUAUCCCAAUAAGGAGAUGGUUUGCAAUGUUUUACCAAGCCCUUGAUGGAAGAGAACAAAACAUAUUCAUCAUUAAGAUAGCUCACACAAAGUAAAUACACAAUUCAAUACAUGGAAGAAAGGAAAGAUUUAACCCUGUUAGCUGCAAAUCGGUGCUUACCAUUUCAUCUGCAAAGAUUCCAUUUAUUCCAUUUUCAUAGAGUCGUAUGAGCCAGUUCAAACCAGCCAGUUGGUAAUCCCUCAUCUUCCCCUGAGACAAAAGGAAAAAAGAAAAGUCUUAAACCUUAAAUUGUGAAGUACGUCAUUUGAAUACAACCUUCUGAAAGUUAGAGAAAAUCAACUAGAUUUAAGAAAAGUCUCUCACAAGAAGGUUGUGUCAACAACCAUGUGGUUCCAGCCCCAGCCAAACCCUCUUCUUCCUCCUUAAGGCAUUCUUCUUCCUCUUCCUCUUCAGUUAUUUUGGAAGCAUGGUGACCUUUAAAUUUGUGAUUAAACAAGUAAGCACCAGUAAGAACUUUUAAAAUCAUACUUAACUCAUGCAAUAAUCAUAACCAAUUAAAGGCAUUCAUCCUACUUUUUUUAAACAAAAGAAAUUCUAGCUCAAAAAUUCAAUUCCUAUUUAUCUCUUCAAAGAAAAUAAAUUACCGAAGACAAUAAUCAAUGACAUGAUAGUAUAGAUUGAAUACGCAAGACUCUUCAAUGAUUAUUGAACUUACUUUCCCUUCACUUUCUUCUGAGAUGUCGAGCAUGCGCUUGCUGAUCUUCUUGGAGUAAACCUGCAGGAUCUAAAUCUUGUCCUCCUCGAUGAGGGGAGAGGACGACGCACUCGAGAUGACAAAUGAGAGGUGACAAAUCGAGAAGAUAGGUAGUGGGCUGGCUGGGUUCUGUAAGUCUGGUCCCUGGGAUGUCAAAUCGAGACGGUGAGAGAGAGGUGAGAGAGAGGUGACAAAUCAAGAAGAUGGUUGUCGCCUAGGCCGUCGUGCUGUCGGGGUGGUGAAGGGAAGGGGACGACGCAUUGCAGACUACGAGAGAAACUCGAUCGACAAAGUGAGAGUGACAGUCGAAUUCGAUAGGUUGAGGACGAGGAAACCUAAAACCAACGAUUCAGAUUGGAUGGAGAGAUGAUCUCUUCAAUCUCAUCCAUCCAUUUUAACUAAAAACGGGCAAGUCUGGGUACCUGCGGUUCCUAUACUUCAGGAACCGGUUCGAACCGAAAAUUUCAAAGGCCCGCCCCGCCUCGUUUCUGUUUUUACAAAAUAGGAACCGGCUCGUACUCGCCCUGACCUGCGGUUCCUGUACCUGUUUGCCCACCCUUAAUUGGCACGGUUUCUAGAAAUAACAUCACCAUUUUUAGAAAUAGCAUCACUGUUUCUAAAAAAAGUGUCAUUGUUCUUAAAAAACAAAAUAAAAAGAACAAAAAGAAACUACUAAUAUAAUAAGAAAAGGGCUUGAGUUUUCAUUAGUUUGUUUAGAAAUUAUUGUUGUUAAGAAACAAUGUUUCAUAUCAAUAAAAUUUUAUUAAGUAUUUUAAUAAAAAUUUGUUGAUAAUAAAAAAUAAAAUAAAAGGAGGGAGGAAGGAGUGACAUGAGAGAGAAAAGAGAGAGACGAUAGUGAUGGGUGAAAGGAGAAAGAGAUAAUGGUGACAAGUGAAAAGAGAGAGGGAAUUCGGGUGAGGGAUGACGGGAGAGAGGGACGGGGAUUUUUUUUUAUGAAAAUAGACUUAUAUUAAAGCUAGAAACCACAGGAACAACCGGCACCAACCAAAUUGAAAUUUAUGACUGGGCCAACAAAGUUUGGUACAACACCAUCCCAUAUAUGAUUGGAAUGAAGACUAAGCCCAUGUUUAGCAAAAGCAUCCACAACAAAGUUAGUUUCCCUAAAAAUACGCCUCCAAGAGAUGGAUUGGAAUUUUGUUGCCAACUUUCAAAUUUCUACUAUCGCAACCAUUAAGUUCCAGGGGACAGACUAACUACUAAGCACAUAGUGGAUUACUUAUCUUGAGUGGCCUUCCACUUGGAUCUUAAAAACACCUUUUUUUUUAGGGCAACUGAGAGUCCUUUCUUCAGCACCAUAGCUUCUGCCUCAUAUAUCAUAGCUCCAUCAACAUUGAAGGAACCACCACCCAAAACAUUCUCUUGAUCAUUUCUUAACAUGAACCCUGCAGCUGCAUUAUGAAGACUGACUGACCCAUUAAAAUUUUGCUUUAUAAAAUUAAGGUUAGGAGGGUGCCAUUUAAUGUUUAUAAGCUAAUCUGGGGUUUUUUUUUUAUUUUCUUGAAAGAAGGAGUUCCCAGAGAGAAAGCAAGAGCCCUGAUUCUCACAUGGUAAAUAAUAGUACCUACGAAAUGUUUAUUGUUUCUGUCAUUCCAUAUUUGCCAACAAAGAAUCAAAACCUAGCUUAACUUGCAAAGUUUGUCAGUAACAACAUAACCAAGAUUAGAAAGCCAAUCAAUAACCCUAUUGAAAUCAGCAUUUAAAUCACUUGGCAUAAUAAAAUUACAAGUAUGCCAAACUAACUUUGCAAAAUCACAAUUAAAGAAAAGAUGUGUCUGAGUUUCAUCUUCCUUGUUGCAUAAAGGGCAUUUAAGAUCAAUGUUUUGGAUGAACUUACCGAGCCUUCCUUUAGUUUGAAGUCGAUUAUGUAGGAACAUCCAUUCAAACAUUUUAAAUUUAAAGGGAAGUUUUAACUUCCACAUUCGUAAAAUCAACUCACCCUUGACAUCCAGAUUCCAACAAUUGUUUUGAUUCCAUAUAGCUGACUUAACUAAAAACAACCCAUUUUUAGAGCUUCCCCAAAUAAGCGUAUCCCUGCUUUCAUCUUGAGGAAUGACAAUAUUAUAAAUUAUCUGACCAAUCUCUAGGCUAACAAGAUGUUCAAUCUUAUUUAUAUCCCAACACUUGUUUAUAAUGCAAUCAUUAACUGGAAGAUUUCAAUUGAUAUUAGCAUGUUGAUCUUCAGGGAUGAGACGAGAUAAAGGGUAAGGAAAAACCUAAUUGUCACAUCCUAGUGUCGGCUCCGCCAUAGCACAAUAUUGUCCGCUUUGGGCCCUAGCCACGUCUUCACGGUUUUGUUUCUGGGAACUCACGAGAACUUCCUAGUGGGUUACCCAUCCUAGGAUUGCUCUCACCCAAACUCACUUAACUUCGGAGUUCUGAUGGAAUCCGAAGUCAAUGAGUUACCAAAAGGUCUCGUGCUAUAUGGAGGUGGGCAUGUACAUAUAAGGCAUAUCACCCCAUCUCCGUUGGUUGAUGUGGGAUGUUACAAUCCACCCUCCUUAAGGACCCGACGUCCUUGUCGACACACUCACACCACACGGCAGAGUGACUCUGAUACUAUUCUGUCACACCCCAGCCUCGGCUUCGUCAUAGCAUGAUAUUGUCACCUUUGGGCCCCAGCCAUGCCCUCACGGUUUUGUUUCUGGGAACUCACACGAGAACUUCCCAGUGGGUCAUCCAUCUUGAGAAUUCUCUCGCUCGAACUCGCUUAACUUCGGAGUUUUGAUGGAAUUUGAAGCCAAUGAGUUCCCAAAAUGUCUUGUGCUAUGCCGAAGUAAACAUGUACAUAUAAGGCACAUCAUCCCUUCUCCGUUGAUCGAUGUGAGAUGUUACACUAAUUGUGGGACCAAAACAAGAUAUCUUGACCAUUACCCACCAUCCAUCUCGAACCCUUGGUUAAAAUAUCACGACAAUUGAGAAUGCCUUUCCAAGCUAGAUAGUAGUAUUGUCUUAUCUUUUUAUUCAUAAACUCUUCUUGUGUUAGGUAUUUCAUUUUAAGUAGUUGCACCCACAAGUUGUCUUCUUCCAUUAGAACUUUCCAGCCUAACUUUGCAAGGCACGCAUAUAAAACGAUCAAGCUUUUUAAUACCUAGACCACCAUCCCAUUUACUCAUACAAGCCCUAUCCCAAGAGAAAGGAAGGAUUUUUCUUCCUCUACCCCAAAGGAAAUCCCUGCAGUCGUUAUUUAAUUUAUGCAUUACUCUUGACAAGCAUUUGAAACAAGACAUAACAUGAUUAGGCAUUCCAGAAAGGGUAGAUUUAAUAAGAGUUACUCUCCCCAUCUUUGAUAAAGUAUUAGCUUUCCAUCCAGAAAGCUUUUGUUUAACCCUUUUUAAAAGUUCAUUUUUCAUUUAAAGGGUCAUUCCAUAAAACAAUAUUAUGAAUUCCAAGAUAUUUUCCAAUAGUUGUUUUAUGUUGUAUAUGGAGAACUUGAACUAUAUCAUUUCGGAGUUGGGACGACGUAUUAUGGGAGAAAUAUAAAGAAGAUUUAUGAAAGUUUACUUGUUGUCUUGCAACCCUAGUAAACAUAUUAAGGAUACUGAGAAUAUUUCUGGCACCUUUAACAGUGGCUUUGGCAAACAAUAAGUAGUCGUCAGAAAAUACUAGAUUAGAAAUUUUAAAAUCCCUUGGUGAAGAAAGGAUACCCACAUGAGAUUUUGGGUUGGACGCAAUCAAACUUAGAUACCUAAUUAGGGGAUCUAUGCAUAAGAUAAAAAUGUAAGGAGAUAGAGGGUCACCUUGCCUAACAUCCCGUGUCUAUGUGGAACACCAUUGAUAAGGAUCGAAAAAGAUGUUGAGUAAUACAUGUCAUAAUUAGAGUAACCCUUUUGUCAUUUAAACCAAAUUUUUGUAGCACAUACCUAAUAUUGUCCCAAUUGAGGAAGUCAUCAUAAGCUUUUUCCAAAUCAAGCAUGAUCCCAUCACCCCAAUCCUACCCUUCUUCCUUUUAAGCAAACAUUUCAUGGGCAAUAAGUGUAUUAUCCUGAAUUGAACGUCCUGGUGCAAAAACACCUUAAUUUUUGGAUAUACAUUUAUCCAAUAAGGGCUUAAGCCGUUGAAUUAGGGUUUUUUUAUUUUUUUUAUCACAAAUGGUCCCUGACCCUCACCCUCAAGAUGGUCCCUAAAAUUAAAAAUCAAUCAAUAUAGUCCCUGAAAAAAAGUGUCGCAAAUCAAUGUGGUCAUUCCGUCACAAUUAUGUUAAAAUUUCCGUUAAAGUGCUAAUGUGGCACAUAUAUGGACCCACAAGAUUUACCGGGUUUUUUUUUCACAAAUGGUGCCUAAAAUUAACCCACACCAUCAAUAUGGUCCAUGAAAUUGAAAAUCAAUCAAUGUAGUCCUUGAAAAUAGGUGUCACAAAUCAACAUUAUCAUUCCACCACAAUUCUAUAUAAAAAAAUUGUUAUGUGCUGAUAUAGGUUUAAUAAUUAAUUAAAAAAGUUGUCUAAAUACCUUUUUGCACAAUGAGAUUUUUUUUUCUUAUAGUAAGGCCUACUUCUAAGAGAGCUCAUUAUUUCAAGGCAAACCUUGUCGUUCUUUGCAUCACCAAACCAUUAGGGAAACGUCGAACAAACUUUCCAUGAUUAGGGUUAUGAGGAUGUUGAUCACCUAAAUGUUAACGGUGAUGUCCUAGAAAUCGUUGCCAAUGAGCCAAGCUCUCACCAAAACGGAUUUCGAUCUAGGUUCAAUUCGGUGAAGAUUGUCGAAUUGUGUAAACAUGAGUGUAUUGAGAUUUUUUUUUAGAGAAUAAAUAGCGAAUGAGGUAUAGAAAUGCAGACUGAGAACAGAGGUGAUUGCAUAACUGGGUUUUUGGGUUGAGUUUUUUUUAUUAACUAUUAAAUUAUUAAGCCUAUUUGUAAUUUUUUUUAAAAUUUAAUUAGACCUGUGUGACCCAUUUAUGUGUCAGUCAACACAUAACAAAAUUUUUGACAAAAUUGUGACAAAAUGACUACAUUGAUUUGAGACAUACGUGAUGGACUACAUUGAUCAAUUUUCAAUUUAAGGGACCAUUUUGAUGUUGCGAGUCAAUUUCAAUGACCAUUUUGAUGUCAUGGGUUAAUUUCAAGGACCAUUUGUGAGAAAAAAUGACUUAUGAGGCCCAUUUAUGUGCCACAUCAGCAUUUAAUAGAUUUUUUAAUAGAAUUGUGACCAUAUUGAUUUGUGAUACCUAUUUUUAAGGACUACAUUGAUUGAUUUUCAUUUUUAGGGACUAUCUUGAUGGUGAGGGUCAAUUUCAGGGACCAUUUGUGAUAAAAACCCUUAAAAGAUCUUGUUGGUGUGAUCUUUCCGUCACAAUUCUAUUAAAAAUUCCGUUAAACACUGAUGUGGCACAUAAAUGGUCCCACAAGAUUUCCGGUUUUUAUCACAAAUGGUCCCUGAAAUUGACCCAUACCAUCAAGAUAGUCCUUGAAAUUUAAAAAUGCCUGCACAUGAAUGAACUUGAUCAUUGUCCGAAGUGUUUUGAUCACACUUCCAGCUAAUUUUGACACAUUUCCCAAAAUCUGGGUGUUGAAGCCACAUUUCUUCCAACUUGAAUUGAAAUGGUUUUUUCUGUUUCAACUCAUCAUUGGUGGUUAAAAUAUUAUGGCUAUGAUCAGAUCCAAAGAUUGGGUAAUUAUGCAAAUUUGCAUCACAAAAUUCAUUAAUCCAAGUUGGGUUAGCAAGUGCUCGAUCUAAUCUUUCAAAGAUAAUCAAAUCAUCCCUAUGACCAUUAGUUCAAGUAAAAGGAACUCCAGUUGCAGGUAAAGAAAGAAUGUUCCAUUGAUGAAAGCAUUCAUAUAAGUGGUGGUUACUCUAUUACCUCAUAGCUUUUCAUUAAUAGAAAUAAUGUUAUUAAAGUCUUCCAUCAAACACCAAGGUUUUAACCCUGGAUUGAAACUCAGAAUUUCCUCCCAAAGAAGAUUUUGUAAAUAUUUUUUAGGGUAGGCAUAAACAAAACUUAUAAAGUGGACUAAGUCAUUGCUAGUUUCUUUGACCUCACAAUGAAUCAACCGAGAACAAGAACUAAUAACAUUAAUCAAAAUUGCAGAGGAAUUCCAGCAUAAACAAAGGCCCCUAGAUCUUCCAACACGAUAACAGCAAAAACCUUAUCAAAAUAUCUAGAAUAGAAAUUAAAUAGGGCCUUAUCCAUCUUCACUUUUGGUUCCAUUAAACAGAAAAUGUCGAGCCUAACUAGAUUACAAAGGAAAUUAAAAUUACUACUAAAAUCUUGAUGACCCCACCCUCUGUAAUUUCACUAUAAGCACUUCAUCAGUCUAUCUCAUAGAGGUAGCUAGCUCCCUCUUGAAUUACUAUCUCCUCACGGACACGCUUCUUUGGACUCCACCCUCUAAUUCUAGACAUAGUAGGUGGUGGCAUAUGUCCCUCUACAGCCAUGGUAGUUGCCACAACAUCCCUAGAAGACUGUUCCAUAUCCACAGCCCCCUGAGUUCCCAUCACAGGUCUAGAAUUUGAGUAAUCACAGUAACACACAGCAAGCAUUCAUAAGAGAAACACACAUAGUCAUACGUCACUAAAUACAUAUAAAACACAUCACAAUCCAUAAUAGAGUUAGAAUAAAGACUUGUAGAGUUAUGAAGUUUAGGGUUCUUCUCGUCUAUCCCUAAGUAUGAAAUAACAUCAUACUAACUAAACUCACUAAUCGAUUCCAAACACACCGUACCUUAAUCAUGUCAUCUCCACCUCUUGGAGUUCUCCUCCAAUCUUGGACUAAAUCUGCCCUAGGCACCCAUUUGCAUUUGGCUACCUUGCCAACCUUUUUUCCCAAAUCCCUUGGCGUUUUCACUUCACUACCAUCCUCACUGGCAUGCUUCUUCUCCAGAUCAUCUUUCACAUCCUCAUCAACUUUGGUAUCCUCAAGGAAAUAAACGGUUCAUCAUAAAAACACGCUCAAUAAGGAAACACCCAUCUUCCACGUCAUUCACUAUACAAGUGUGCCCAUCCAGCCUUUUCAUGCCACAAUGAUUACACACUUCAAACAACUUCUUAUAGCUAACUAGCACAUGUUGAUCAUCAUCGUCAUUGACAAUCAGGGCUCGCUUCAGAGGGAAUCUGAGAUCCACCUCUACUAGAACCUUGACAAACACACCAUUAAGCCCAAGAGUGAUUUCAUCAACCUUAACAAUAUCUCCUAGUGGUUGAGUAAUAGUUUUGAUAAUAUGUUCCUCCUUGUACUUGACAAGCAAUCUGGGAAGUAUAGCCCAUACCACCAGCUUAAUAAUCGAAUCCAAAUCGCUAAAUUCAGGAGUCCAAUUCUCUAAGAGGAAUAUUUACCCCCUAAUGUAGCAGGGUCGAUGGUUCAGCACAUAUUCGAGGUUAGCAUCAUUCGAAAACUCAACAGCAAAUCAUUUCCUUCCAUAGUGAUCGAGAAAGUAAUUGUUUUCACUUUAUUCCUCCAGAGUUUCCACUUGAUCAAACGGGCCUCUAAAGGCUACGCAAAUAUAUUUCCAUUAAAACUCUAGCCUUCAUAUGCUCCACAUUCAGAUAAGAGCAAAGGGUGGUGUUGACCUUAGUGACACCACGUUCUAUAAUGAAGGCGCUAAAAGCUUUUUCCACUACAAUAUGAUCUUUACCAGGUUGAGGGAUGGGGAAUGGAUUAGCCCAACUAGGAAUGUGUUGGUUAGUGCAAAUUUGAGGUCUCCUAGUGAGGUUGGAGCUAGAAGUGGCAAACUGAGAGUUGGCCAUGGUAACAAAAACUAUCCAAGGAAGGUUUAAGUUAAAAAAAAAAGAAGCUUAAGUGUGAGGUACCAGAGAAUAUAGUCCUAAUAUAAAUAGCAGAAGAUGAAUGGAACCCAACCGUGAAAAAAAGAGAGGAGAAACCUCCCACAGAAGGUUUUCCUUACACAGUUGGUUUCCCUAUCAGUGGUCAUAAUGAAGCUAGUGGGUAGUAAUUGGUUAUCGAAAAAAAUCUCAGAAAAGAUAAUGAUGCAUUUUAAGUAAUCAAGACAAGGCAACCCUCUAAGUAACACAAGCUUAGUGAAUCUAGGCCAAGCAAUUAACACAGACACUUUGAAAAUUUGAGAGAUGAGCCAUAUGUAAUCAAGAAACCCUAAUAAAAAAUAUUUAAAAGCGCAACCAAAAGAGGGUAACCAAUGAGAACCAACACAACUAUCAAACAAACAAUUAUUAGUAAAAGGAUCUAACAAGCAAGCAUGCAAAUAUAAUCUAACAAACGUAAAACCAAUCAAAGUAACUUGGAAUAUCAAGCAACUUCUCACAACAAAACCAAAAUUAGGACUAGACUUAGCGAACCUUAAUGAUUUAACCUAACAAAACACCUUAUCACCCAAGCAAAUUCAAUCAUUGACAACCCUCGAAUUCCUAUGAACAAACCCAGCACAUGACUCAGAGACCAAAAUCAUGCAUCUAAAAAACUUUAAUAAAACCCUAAUAUAGUGGACCACCCCUUAGUUUCAAGCAAAUUAGCUAAACUGUGAUAGCAUCAAAACUCAGCAACCUCUUCUUAACCUUCAAGUUACCAGAUAGCAAUGGAGGAAGAUAGGGAAAAAGAAGAGAGAGAAAUGUUUUUGGUAAUAUUGUAUUGAGUUUCCAAUAUAACUGUUCGAGGACAACCCCACCAAAUUGAUUACAUAUAUGUUUCCACUAACACCAAAUGCUAGCUGGCCAUACGACUAAAACAACUUGAUUACUACUAAUUAAAGUACUAGUAAGCUACUAAUUGCAGUCAAGAUAAUCACAAUCAUAACAUUGCCCUCUUCUUCAGAUAAACCUUGUCCACAAGGUUGUAAUCACAGAGGAAAAUCUGGGAAUUUCUUAGCCAACUCAUCAUAAUCCUCCCAUGUAGCAUCUUCUUCCUUGCUGCCCUUCCAUUGAACGAGUAUCUGCACUCCUGCCCCAUUGCCUUUUUUGUAAACUCGCCUUUGCAGAAUUGACAUUGGUUCCUAAGACUGCAACCCAUCUUCUGUCACCACAUGUAUGACUGUUAGAGGACUAACCCCUAGGCCUAAAUACUUAUUCAAACAGCUAACAUGGAAGACAUGAUGUAUCUUGGAAUCUGUAGGAAGCUUGAGUUUGUAAGCUACACUCCUAAUCCUCUCCACAACUUCAUAACGGCCAUAAAACCUAGGAUGUAACCUGUGAUAAGUAUAUGCAGCUAAGGAUUGCAAUUGGUAGGGUACCAAUUUCAAAUAAACCAAGUCUCCAACUUCAAACACUUUCUCCCUUCUAUGCUUAUCAACUUGUGAAGCACCUAAGAUAGGUCUUCAAGCACCGAUUAACCACCUCAAUUUGUCCAUCACUCUGAGGGUGGUAUCCUGAACUCAUACACAGCUUAGACCCACUCAUUUUGAAAAAUUCUUUCCAAAAAGCACUGAGGAAUACAGUGUCUCGAUCACUCACUAUAAUUGCUGGCAUGCCAUGCAGCUACAAACUCUUGAGCUACCAUAGUUGCAGUAUAUGGAUGUCCAAGAGCAAUAAAGUGAGCAUAUUUCGAUAACCUGUCCACUACCACUAGAAUAACAGACUUGCUUUUGUAGUUGGGUAAGCCACUAAUAAAAUCCAUGCUAAUGUCCCUCCAAACAUGUUUAGGUAUUAGAAGUGGCUGGAGUUAACCUGGUGGUGACAAAGUCUCAUACUUGUUCUGUUGGCACACCCUGCACUCGACUACCCAAGACUUAAUACCUUUUUUCAUUCCCACCCAAUAAAAGCUUAUUUUCAAUCUGUGGUAGGUUUUUUGAACACCUUUAUAGUUGGCCAUAAGAGUGCAAUGAUGCUCUUCAAAGAUCUUGUGUCUCCAAGUUGAUUCAGGACCAAUCACAAUCUGAGCUUUGUAUUUUAAGAACCCAUUAUCAAUGUGGAACUUUGACAACUGGGAAGUGACAGUGUUGGUGUGGAUGGCAGCCCUCAGUUCUUCCUUUUUUUGUCUUACCCACUCAUCUUUUUCCAAUUGGCUCCUCAAAUCAUCCAACCACCCAAAGUAAGGGAAUGUGAUAGUGACACAUUCCACUAACUCUUCAUUGUGGUUUAUAGGUAGUGUAGGGGCACUAGGUACCCUUGAUAGAGCAUCAGCCACCACAUUUUCCACACCUUGUUUAUAUUGGAUCUCAUAAGCAUAUCCCAAUAGUUUUGAAACCCACUUUUGUUGGAAUGGGGUAGUGGCUCUUUGAUUUAAAAAAUAUUCCAAACUAUUGUGAUCUGUUUUGAUGAUGAAAUGUUGCCCCUGGAGGUAAUUUUGCCACUUUUUGAUGGCAUGCACCACAACUAUGAGUUCUCUUUCAUAAGUGGACAGAGCCUGGUUCUUAGGGCCUAAAGCCUUGUUGGAGAAAAUAAUUGGUUUUCCUUGUUGCUGCAAGACUGCUCCUAUCCCAUUUGCAGAAGCAUCAUAUUCUAUAACAAAUGGGAUCGAGAAAUCAGGAAGGGCUAACACCUUAGGAGAUGUCAUGACUCUUUUUAAUUCUUAAAAAGCUGAAUUUGUUGCCUUAGACCAUAUGAACCCAUUUUUUUAAUGAGUUAAUACAGAGGGCAUAUCUUACCAUAGCCUUGUACAAACUUUCUGUAAUAACAUGUCAACCCCAAAAACCCCCUUAGCUCCUUCACAUUCCUAGGGACUGGCCAAUCCAAAAUGGCUUGUAUCUUAGUGGGAUCAGCUACAACUCCAUCACUGGAAACUAUGUGACCCAAGUAUUCAACUUGUUGCUAACCAAAAGAACAUUUAGACUUCUUUACAUAUAACUGGUGCUGCAAUAAUAACUCCAAGGUUUGGUGCGAAUGAGAUAUGUGCUCCUCCCAUGUUUUACUGUAGACUAAUAUGUCAUAAAAAAUACCAAUAUAAACUUCCUGAGAUAGGGUUUAAAAAUAUCUUUCAUCAAGCUUUGAAAGCUUGCUAGGGCAUUCGUAAGCCCAAAGGGCAUCACCAAAAAUUCAUAGUGUCCCUCAUGGGUCCUGAAGGCAGUUUUCUCCACAUCUUCCCCAUGCAUUCGAAUAUGAUGGUAACCCGAUCUUAAAUCCAACUUGGAGAAGUAUCUAGCCCCAAAUAACAUCACCAUCAAGGAUAAAUAUCUUAUCCCACUCAUAGAUGACUUGUUGGAUAAGCGUGAGGGAGGUAAUGCGGAAGGAAUAGUAAAAACCACCUCAAAAUUGCUCAAAACCGUGUGCAGUUCAUUGAAUUGGGAGAGAGUGAGCUCUAAUGUGUCACUUGUUCUAGCUUCUAGAGAAUAUAAAAAUAAUCCCAAGUUUGAAGUGAAGCAUCAUUUACUGAUGUGAUGCACCGAAAUAUCUUGUAUGGAAGAUUGUGAAGGUGCAUAAUGAGUCAAUUUAAAUUGCUGGGGUCCCACUUGAAACUCCAUAGUCAAAUUUUGGAAAUCCCACAAGACUGGACUUACUGUGGAUAGCCACUGGACCCCUAGGACAACAUCAUAACCCCCAAGAGGUAAAACAAACAGAUCACUGUAGCAACCAUAUUGUCCCACUUUCAGUUGAACUUGUCUAUAGCAACCUUGACUUUUUACUCUACCCCCAUCAGCAAUCAUCACCUCAAAGGGCUUUGUAGGUUGAAAUGACCACCCCAAUUGCUUGACUAGUCUAGAGUCAAUAAAAUUAUGGGUGCUUCUAGAGUCUAACAACAUGCUAACAGUAUGAUUAUUAACCAAAACUUCCACCUUCAUAGUUUGAACCGAGGGCUUGGCACUAAUGCCAUAGAAGGCACACUCACUCAUUGCCAUGCUUUGUAACUCCACAGGAAGAGCAUUUGGUUCUUCAUCUCCAAACUCAUUAUCAGAAACUAUAUCCAACAUGAGAAGCUGCUUAUGAGCACAUUUGUGUCCCUUAUCCCACUUAUCAUCACAAAACCAACGCUCACCUCAUUCUCUUUUUCACUGAACCUCCUCAGGUGUUAAUUUCUUAUAAGGUAACGCAGGGACUCGGUUCCGUCCCGGGUUAGGAUUAGGGAAAGGGUUUGGUAUAGCUGGAGGAACAUGUUUAUGGGACACAAUUUUAAGAUCCAUGAGCUUAGCAUCAAUUUUCACAGCAAGAGCAAUGGCAUCAUGCACCGAAAUAGGUUUCAGCAGUUUAACAUCAUACUUUAAUUCACGCUUUAAUCCCCUAAUAAAACAACUCUUCAAUGAGGGCGCGGAGUAACGGGGAAAAUUCGCUGAGGAAUCAUCACCGUUGGUGAAACGGGGAAAAUCCAGAUGAUGCGGCCAUUGAGGGCGCGGAGUGAAACCGCCUCCAUCGAAAGAGUCUCUACGCUGAAAACGUGGAGUUUCAAGAUAACAGAAAUCGUAGUCGUCAGUCACAAACGGAGUAGGAUUCCGCAUCUCGGGUCCUGGAGGAGGUUGAGCGGUAGAAGACCCAACGCCGCCUUGAACUCCAGGGUCACGAUGAAGAUGCUCCAAGAGAAGGGCAAACUUCGUGUCCAAUGAGGUGAAUCUGGCGUCUGAAGCUGCCUGGAUUUGCUAAAGAAGAGCUUCCAGAACAGUUUCCACGGUGGAUAGGCGCGAUUCCAGUGUAGACAUCCAAGAAUUGGUGGUGUGGCAGGGCAUACAAGAGGGAGGCUCAGGAUCGAGAGGAUGAUACCAAUGAUAUCACCAAAACUCAGCAACCCCUUCUCAACCUGCAAGUUACCAUAUUGCAAUAGAGGAAGAUAGGGAAGGAUAAGAGAGAGAAAUGUUUUUUGGUAAUAUUGUAUUGAGUUUCCAAAAUAACUGUUCGAGGACAACCCCACCAAAUUGAUUACAUAUAUAUUUCCACUAACACCAAAUGCCAGCUGGCCAUACGACUAAAACAACUUGAUUACUACUAAUUAAAGUACUAGUAAGCUACUAAUUGCAGUCAAGAUAAUCACAAUCGUAACAAACUGUUACACACUAGCCACCACCAAUUAGCUAACCUAAUAAUCCUCCAAAAACCGAAUAAUCUAAACGCAACUUUACCCUUUGCCGCUGCUGCCCACCAAAAGGGCCAGACUUAAGAACCCUAACCCUAGCUUUCCCAUCUCACAAAAGUUUUUUAUUUUGAAUUCUUUGAGAUGGAGAGGGAUUGGGAAUAUGGGUAAGCCUUUUUAGUUUUUCUUAUCAAUUUUUUAUAUUAAACUUUUGCUCUUUUUCAUUAAAAUUCAAGUCUUUUUUCAUUAAAUAAAGUUAUUAGAUAGUUUUUAGUUAAAAAAUGGGUUUGGGAAUGCCCUUUUUAUUAAAGCUCUCUUAUAUUUAUAGUAGAUGCUACAUAUGCUGGUACUCGCCAGUAUGAUAGAUAGCUAGUAGAUGCUAGCAUCACACAGGUUGAUGUCCGUGUAUACACAAGUGCAUGUACUUGCACUAGUAGAUACUAGUAAUGCAUUGUAGUUCCUCAUGUAUGAUUUCUGAUUUGUGACUGACAUGUAAUUUUCAACUAUAUAUGUAGUAGAUAGUAGUUACUAGUAUGUAGUUUAAAAUUAUACAUGAUUUCUAAAAUGGGCGUUAUAUUGAUUGACUAUGAUUCACACACACUUUAUUUUUCACCCUCAAGAUCUAGUAGGAUGGAAGCUGCAACAAGUGACGACAAGUGGGCUUGACAGUAUUACAUCUCUUAUACGGAGUAGGGUGAUCAUAAUUUUUGUCUUUAUCAUAGUUGUAAAAGCAGUUCUACCCCUAAGACAAAUGCGCCAGCACCCAGCGCAUUUAUUCACUCAGUAAAUAAUGAUAGACUCCAAUGAACAAUAAUAGGCCAAAUGCAUCUCCACCCCUAAAACUAAAUAGCCUAGUCAAUUUUAUUAAAAUUUUAUUAAUUUUUAUUAUAAAAUAAUAAUUUAAAUUUUAAUUCUUCUUCCCACUUUUCUCAAAAGGGUCUUUCUGGACUUUUUUUUCUUCCAUGAUAUACACAAGUCCUUGUUUAUAUGUCAAUUGGAUUUCAAAUUUCAAAUUCCAUCCACUUUGUUUCUCUGUAGAAACAUCAACUUCCAUUGACAAAGGCCAUUGAAUCUUUGAUGGGACAUCAUCACUGUUGCAGAAGAGAAGCCCCUUCCUUGUACCCGGUUCUGAUUUUCUUGGCGGUGGUCGCAGUGCUUCUUCUUCUGUCGUCUUUGAUCUCCUUUGUGACAACCCGUUCCUAGUUUUACGAUUUUAUAAAAUUUAAAAGAAUGAAUUUACGAAAAUAACCUAGAGGUGAAGAUUUUGACUUUCAUUGACCAACGUGUAGAGAAACGUAUGACUUAUUCACUUAGCGCAUUUGUAUAGUACUCGUUGGUACGAAUGCAUAGGCGAAAGCCGUUUGCGAGUUCGGAUUAUAUCGGUAUAGUUACGGACGUUUGAAGUUGUAAAACUACAGAUUGUGGGAAUGAUUUAAUUUCCACAUGUGGGUUAAAGGUUAAAUUAGUUAAAAUAAAGGGGACCAAUCAGAUUUUUAGGGAAAAAAAAGGACCUUAGGAAGGGAGAGAGAAGCUGAAACUUCCCCCCCCCCCCCAGUUUCGUCAACCCGUGCACCACCAACCCAGUUUCGACCCAGGUGAAUGCCAACCAUGAUUGUUAGACACUUAGCCUUGUUAGAGUUAUGUGUAACUGAGGUUACAUUCCUGAUUAUGAGUACGGCACCAAUUGAGAUAUGGUAGCAAUAUGUGAGUUGUAGCAGAAAGUUGUGGGUAGGUAUUAGAAUGAUAGAGAUUGUGACACGGAAAUUUUAUGGUAUUAAUGAUGUUGCCUGAGAAAGUAGUGCGUGAGCACGUUUGAGGCUUGUUCAGACGAUGUAUGUGUAUUUCUCCAAUGAGGGACAAGAUGGUAAUAUUGCACCCUCGUUCAGUUACAUUUAGUCGUUUACUUAUUGUUGGGCUUAACCCAAUGUUAUUAUACACUUACUUUUAGAGUAAGUAAAGCUACGAGUGUGUGGGUGAAAACUUUCAAUGUUCAAUUUUGAUUUAAAUAUAUCUAUUUUGACUUGAUGCUUUCGUAAAGGAUUUUAUACUGUAGUAUUGUUUUGAAAGAAAAUGAAAAGUUUGAGUUUGGAGGCAUGAAAGAGGAAUCACUGCACUCUGAUCGCGACGGAAUGACAUUAUCUUUUAUGCAACCGCUCUAACUUGAUUUCCUCCUUCCAUGUAUGUAUAUAUAUACUUUUUCCUAUCUUCUAGAGUACAUUAUGUUUAGCUAAUGAUUUCAAAUUUUGGGGACAAAAUUUUUUAAGGUGGAUAGAUUGUGACAACCCGUCCUUAGUUCUACGAUUUUAUAAAUUUUAAAAGAAUGAAUUUACGAAAAUACCCUAGAGGUGAAGGUUUCGACUUUCAUUGACCAAUGUGUAGAGAAACGUAUGACUUAUUCACUUAGCGCAUUUAUGUAGUAUUCGUUGGUACGAACGCAUAGGCGAAAGCCGUUUGUGAGUCCGGAUUAUAUCGGUAUAGUUACAGACGUUUGAAGUUGUAAAAAUAUAGAUUGUGGGAAUUAUUUAAUUUCCACAUGUGAGUUAAAGGUUAAAUUAGUUAAAAUAAAGAGGACCAAUCAGAUUUUUAGAGGAAAAAAAAGGACCUUAGGAAGGGAGAGAGAAGCUGAAACUACCCUUCCCCAAUUUCGUCAACCCGUGCACCACCAACCCGGUUUCGACCCGGGUGAAUGCUGGCCAAUUCCACCAUUUUUUCAGGUAAGUUUAAUCCAUCCUUCAGCUGUAACUUCUUGCACCACCUUCCAUCUACCAUUUAAAAAAUUCAAGGGUUUUAAGGCCUAUUUCGGGUAGAACUCCACCGGAGAACCCGGGGUUCUCGUCGGCGUUUUGUCAUUCCGGUGAGUAUCACCAUUCACCAUCACCCUUAAUCAACUCCCCUUUGACCUAGGAACAAGACCCAAUUAGUUGUAGGGGCGUUAGAACAUCAAGGAAGUCGAAUCGAAGAACACCCAUCUUAGGGUUUCAGGCGGGUUUGAGCGAAUUUGGGGCUUUUCCCGGCCAAAUUGGACUUGGCCACAUGUAUAAAACUUGAUCUACUCAUUGAUAUCUUCAUUUCUAUAAAUUUUGGUAAUUUUAAAAAAUAGUCAAAUUUUCCAGCAAGUCUCCUGCCGACCGCCACCCGUGGCAGUGCGUGCGGCAGCGGCCUGGCUAGUGGGCCGAUGAUGUCCUUUUAAGUUCAAUUAGAUGUUCUGAUGUCAUAAUUGAUAUCCAUAUGAUGUGGUUUGAUUAUUUGAACUUAGUUUCAUUACGAUACAUCACUUGACCUUUAUAUGAAUUGAUGAUUCGUCCGUUCGAUCGUCACCAAACUUUAAUACAUUAUAGUACAUAAUAUUUGAGGACCAUAGAAACUUACAGAUCGAGAGUCCGACAUACAGAUCUUCCUGAAUUGGAUUUGUAAGUUCAUAAAAUAAAGGGGUGUGCUAUCCACACACCCCAUUUUACUUCUCACACAUCCCUUGAUAAUUUAUGUCUGUUGAUCUUCUUCAAUUCAUUCGAUCUGACAACCGAAAAUUAAAAAGGUGUGUGAGAAAUAAAAUGGGGUGUGUGGAUAUGACACCCAAAAAUAAAAUGUUGACCGUCACUUGGUUUUGGCAAUUGGUGGAAAUCCGACCGUUGGAUCAUAAUGAAACAUUAGGAUGUGGUUCUAGAAACAUAAUGUGAAUCUUUGGAAGUAAAGGAUCAAAAAUCCGUGAUGCUGAUCUUCUGAAAUGAAUUACGCAGGGAUUUGUUUUAUGUAAAUUAUGUAUUAUAUUGGUAAGAACUCUAAAACGUGAUUUGAUAAUUGUUCUAGGCGACAUUGGUUCGUGAUGUCUCGAUAUGUGUGCUAGGGAGUCGUAGCGUGGACCUCAGGUGAGUGGGUCUUUUCCUUUCUAUCGUGUGUGUGUGUGUGUGUGUGUGUGUGUAUAUAUAUAUGAUUGAUAAUUUCACAAACGUUUAUAAAUUGAUUAUUGCUUAUGAUUACUGUGAAUGCUUUGAAGUAAUUAUUGUGAACUACGAAUGACUUGAUCCCUGUUUAGGGUACGUAGGCAGUCUAACGAAACGUUAGAUGCAGCCAUACAACAAAUGAGACUAAAUAAUUGAGACAAUAGCCUUGUUUAGGGAAUUGAGUAAUGUGAGGGGCAUUGGUGGAAAAUGUGAGAUUUAACCUUAUGAUUUGGUGGUUAAAUGUUGGUCAUAAAUCAAUGUGUGAAGAAUCAAGAAUUUGAAGUAAGGAAACAUAAGUAACGAUAGUUAAUUAAACUAGUGUCUAGUUGGGCUUAUCAUUGAUAAUUAUUCCCGAAAAUAAAUAGUUCGGGAGUAGGGCAUUACAGCGUAUGCAUUUUUAUGCCACAUUAUAUAUAUAUAUAUAUAGAUAUAUAUAAUUGAAAAUGCUAUAACAUGGUUGAGUAUCAGAUUGCAUCAUGGUUUAUCUAUAUGUAUAUUACAUGCACAUAAUUAUUGUGAACGCUUUGAAGUGCAAAGGUGAACGUAAGACACCCAGGUAAGUUCAGGUGAGUUUAUGGUAUUAGUUGAAAUGAUGGAGUUAUGGCAUGAUUACAUGUAUGUUUUAGGCAACUCCAACCUUGUUGUACAUGUUGCAAUGAUAGGCAACUCCGACACUAUCGUACAGGUUGCCCAUGAGUCGUAUAGGUUACAAUAGAUGCAGUUAGAGCUCAUAAACCUGCACACCGGUGUUAGUGCUCCCGCCCGUGGCCAGGGCACAGUCAUUCACGUGAUGUUCACCUUCCGCACCUUACGCUCACCUUGGAUCCAAGGUAGGUGCAUAGUCCUGUCGUACAUACCACUACAGGUGGUUCCGACUUAUAGGUGACCCGCGAUUAUUCUCACAGUCUUCACGUGAUCGUAACAAUUGAGUGUACUUAUUUACAUCCAGUCCUGUCGUACAGACCACUAGAGGUGGUUUCGACUCGUGUGUAGGGAUAUGUGAUGAGUUAGCAUUGACUGAUGAGAUAUGGAUAAGUCAUACAGGUCACUAUAGGCGACUCUGACUUAUGUGAUAGCAUUGACUGAUGAGAUAUGGAUGAGUCGUACAGGUCACUAUAGGUGACUCUGACUUAUGUGAUAGAAUUGACUGAUGAGAUAUGAAUAAGUCGUGCAGGUCACUAUAGGUGACUCCGACUUAUGAGCUAGCAUUGGCUGAUGAGAUAUGGAUGAGUCGUACAGGUCACCAUAGGUGACUCCGACUUAUGUGCUAGUAUAGGUUAUUAAGAACAUGAUUAUUUAUAUUGCUAAUGAGAUGAUGUGUCGUGGUAUACUUCUAGAUUUACUGUUAGUAUACUUCUGAUUUCAUACUUAUACGUAGUAUGAUUUUUCGAAAACUAUACAGGUUUUACGGCGAGGGGUUAGUACCUUUGAUAAUUGAAAUGAUUUUGAAAAUCUUUGUUUACCCACUCACACUUUCUAUUUUGCACCCCUCCAGGUUCUAUUAGCAAAGUUUCGUAUCGACGCACUCCCAGUUAAGGUGGCUCCGUAUGAUGGUAUAAUUAUUAUCUUACCUCACUGUACUUUUCUUAUGCUCUGUAUCACGUGUGAAAUGCGUCCAUACCUGCUCACCGCGCACUAAGUAUAUAGGCACUUUUAGUUUUAAAUUUAUUUACAUUUUACACAUUAUCACAUUCUAUGGCUUCGUCACCUUCCAGGUGUUGGCUAGCAUAACUCGAUUCGGAGUUCUAGUGGACAUUCCGGGUCGGGGUGUUGAAACCCCGAAAUUUGAGAUCAAUUGGGGGCUCAUAGCCACGCCGUUGUUGUUGCUAGCGGUUGUGCAUUGGUUGUCGUCAUAAACUCCCAAGGCGCUAUGUUUUGUGCCUCCACCAUGUUGCAAGUGUGGGCUCAGAAUCAACCUUAGCCUCGAGGAGCUCUACACUAAGAACCCGGAAUCAACCUCCCCAUUUGGAUUUGGAGAAGCUCUGCACCAAGAACCCUGAAUCUCUCUCUGCCCCGAAAUCAACCUCAGCCUCGAGGAGCUCUGCACCAAGAUGUCUCUACGACACGUUGAUCGUGCGGAAGGUUGAUGGCCCAUCACGUUAGAUGGCUCGGCAUAUGGGUUUGUCGAUUUUAAGCAGGUUUCUUGCUUGGCUUGGGCUGGGUGUCGGUUAAAAUGUUGGGCUGGAGUGGAUAGCCUGGGUGCCGGGCUGGUUUUUUAGCUGGGUGCUGGCCUAUCAGUGCCCCGGUGGAACUGCUCUAAUAAUAAAACCAAAUUUAUGGUUACACUUGGACAUUGCAUGACUACUGCAUGCCUACUUGCGUUUACUGUUACUUUACUUUUGUGCUCUAAACUUAUCUGACAUGUAAUAAAAAGAAUAAUCCCACUGGUAUGCCCUUUUGCGAAGUUGUGUUUUAACUAAGUUUUCAUGCAGGAUUGCUUUUGUUAUUAUUGUACAUAUUGGGAGAUUCUGUAGGAUUUUUAUUGAACUUGAAAAUAAUUAAUAGUAACAUAGUAAUUACCUUACUUAUGCCUUUGUCACCACACAGUGUCCACCAAGAUAGCCUGAUUCAUAGUCUACCUGGUUAUCUAUGUCGAGGUAUGUCAUAAAUGAUGAGUUUUCGGAUGAGGUUCACCAUGAUUUUAUCUUAAAUGAUUUCAUUUUUUCAGUGAUUUAGUGAUAUAAAAUAUUUUAAAAGAGUAAAUUUAAGUUAAAAUACAUGUUAAAGUUGUUUAUAAAUGUAAGAAUUGAUGGAGCAUUGAAAAAAGGAGUUUUCAAAAAGCAAGAAAAAAAAAAAACAAAAGCUUUGCAGUAUUCCCAGGUGAGUGGGUUUAUUUCUUACUCUGGGACCACUCUAAGUCCCUAUAUACAAUUCUCAUAUUUGAGGAUUUCUUUAGGUAUCAAGUGAGUACCUAUAUGUUGAAAUACUUUGAGAACUCCUAUUCCGACCCAUUUAAGGAUUACAUGGUUGAAUGUACUCCAUUUAGUGUCUCCAUUAAAGAUGCCAUUACAUGCCCAAAAGGCAACUUGUUUAAUAAAGGCAACUUUCACUAUUUAUAGCGAUAUAUUUAUAUUAGAAGACAACAAUUUAAGCUAAACCAUAAUAGACUAGUCAUGAUAAUUUAUUAUUAAACUUGUCGUUGUGCUUAAAAUCUUGAAUAUAUAAAUGAAGAAGAGGAAGAAUAUCAUUAAAUAUCGAAGUGUGAAGAUAUUUUCAUAACUUACAAGUUACAAUCAUCAAACUUUUUGAUCUAUGCAAACAACAACCUUAUUUUAUGUUCCAGUUUAAACGGUAAAAGCCCAAAGAAAGUUCCAAACGCCACCUGAACUUAACCCACCGACUAAUCAGAACCAUCACCACCACUUGCUUAAAUAGUCCAACAGGGCACAUUCUGAUAAGACAUCCCAUCCAACUCUUAGCACUCUUUUGAUAUAUAUAAAUUAUAUAAUGUUAAUGAUUUCUAAAGUGGCAUCUUCAAUUAUUAUAAAUACGUGAAAUUCAAGUUAGAUCUAAGAUUGUGAACAAAUAAAACACAGCAACACAAAUUCAAGAUUUGAAAUUUUGGAUUUUGUCUUAGUUGUUGUAUUUUACAAUGUUGAAAAGAAUAUUAUGCAAAGAUAUAAACAUGAGGAUUAAAAAUAAUAAUUACAAACAUGAGUUAGGCUAAUUGGUAAGAUUAGUGUUUUCGUUCAUGUGCGUAAGUACUCGUUUGAGUGGUUCAGGAUUAUCUUAAGCUAACAAAAAGAAGGUCUUGCCUUAAUAAUUUAAAUAAUAUUUCGACUAAUUCCUUUCUUUCCUAACAUUCUAUUAUAUAGUAUGAGAACAUGCUACCAAGGUCAUUCUAGCGUACGGGUGGUCAAACUAACAAAAUCGUUGGCGUGCUCAGUUUGUUCUACUCACACUAUGUAUAUUAUCACAUAUAUCUUGUCGUGAUAUGAAUUAUUAGGCAGUAACGUUCAAUAUAUCGUUAACUACGUGUUAGAAUUAAAUGGCCUCAUUUGUUAUGCAUGCGCAUCAUGCUCACAUUCUAAUAACCUUUACUUAGAAUUAUCUUGUGAAAAACUAAAAAAAAGUAGUGUUAUAUUUAUUAUCUAUUAGUAUUAUCUUUUUAAUAAAAAUAAGACCCGACAACUCAUGCUAAUCUCAUUUAAAAAAAAAAAAAACCAAAUGAAUUACAAAAAUUUAUAUUUUUUCUAUUAUUGAAAAAUUGAAAAGACAGUAAUACGUUGUAAUCCCGUAAUAUGUGUGGAACUUGUCCCUUGUUAUUAUUCCUAAUAUUCCUCUCACAAACCCAAAUGGCGACACACGUGCGAGGUCCGACAACAGUCCUCCACAUGCUUGAACCUUCCAUUUUCCAACCUCUCGCCCCACCACUCUGAAACGCCAACAGAGAGAGAAAGAAGAGAGAGAAAGAGGAGGGAGAAAGAAUAGAGAGAGAGUAAAAAGCAAAAAAGAAGAACAAAAAAAAGAGAAUGACUAGUCUCUGUCUCUGUAUCUCUCUCACAUAUUCAACAGAUCCCACCCAAAAAGCAAAAGACCGCUCUCUCUGCUUCUCUCUCUACCCCUUCAGCAGUUUCUCUCUCUAGAAUGGACGAGACUGCAUCUUCUUCAUCCUUAUCUCUUUGAUCUCUCCUCCUCACCAAACCCAAUGAAUCCCUCCUCCACCGCUUCCAUCUGAGAGGCAUUUUAUAUUUAUUUUCCAAUUUAUUUGUUUUUUUCUUUCAAAGUAUGAGCAUUUUUUGGAUUUUUCUGUGAAGCCCUGUGAGUCAUCUUCUUCUUUCUCAAUAGGUAAACUUUCUCUCACACCCUCUUACCAUCCCACCUCCGCCGACAUUGUUAACGGUUUUCUGGUGCUUUUUGUUUGUGCUCUCACUUCUUUAUAUUUUUCUGGUUUCUCCAUCUGUUUGCUCUGUUUUACUUUCUGGGAAAUCUGAGGAAAAUAAAAGAGAAAAAAAAAAUUGGAAACUGCAAAAUUUAAGUUCGUAAAGUUCCUGAUAGGAAAGUAAUGUUCUGGAUUUAGUCACAAAUAUUUUUGCUUUUCUGGGUUCGCAGAAAAGCGAAAUCAUUUUGGUACACACCAUGUUUUGUUUUUCACUUUUCCACAUUUUCUCGGCAGCCAAACACAUUAUAUGAAAAGCUCCUUCAAUUCUCUCACUGUUCUGUUUGUGUUUUGUGACUUUGGGUUGUUGUGGUUUCAGAUCUAAAGCCUGGAUUUUUCUCCGCUGCUACGAAAGGUUACUCUCUAAACCCCAAUUUAAAGAUCUAAGAUUCUCUAAUCUAGUGUUAAUUAAUUAAAUAAAUAAUUAAUCAAUGAUUUCAGAUGUGUAUGCGUUUUGUUUGCCUAGGUUUUUGGUUCUGAGAUCUUAACAUGGUAAUUUGUAGUAUUUUAUUUGUUUGGUUUAGAUACUGCGGUUGCUGUUAUGGAUAUUCCUUGAAUUUGGGUGGCUUUUGCUUGACUAGGCUUUUGGUUUUCCUUGUACCUAACGACUACUUAAUUUUGUUUUUCCGAUGUUUUAGGUUUCUGGGAACAUUUGAAUUAAUUCAAAACUAGUUCCUUAACCUUAUUUAAUCCAACCGUUCAACUUCAACUUCUUCAUUUUUACCGUCUGGGCAUCUCCGGUUUCGAACCCGAAAGAUGCAGAGACCUCCAUCGGAAGACUUUGCUUUGAAGGAGACCAAACCCCACCUCGGUGGGGGGAGGAUCUCCGGUGACAAGCUCACGAGCACGUAUGAUCUCGUUGAGCAGAUGCAGUACCUAUAUGUCCGGGUUGUUAAGGCGAAGGACUUGCCCGCGAAAGAUGUGACCGGUAGCUGUGACCCUUAUGUGGAAGUUAGGCUUGGGAAUUACAAGGGCGCUACUCGACAUUUUGAGAAGAAGUCGAAUCCGGAGUGGAACCAGGUUUUUGCAUUUUCGAAAGAUCGUAUUCAGGCUACCGUUCUUGAGGUCGUUGUGAAGGACAAGGAUGUUGUGAAGGACGAUUUGAUAGGCCGAGUUUCUUUUGACCUGAAUGAGGUUCCAAAACGCGUUCCUCCUGACAGUCCUCUGGCACCACAGUGGUAUAGAUUGGAAGAUCAUAAGGCGAACAAGGCUAGGGGAGAGCUGAUGUUGGCUGUAUGGAUGGGCACCCAAGCCGAUGAAGCUUUUCCCGAAGCAUGGCAUUCCGAUGCUGCCACAAUUAGCGGAGCUGACAGUCUUUCAAAUAUCCGAUCAAAGGUGUAUCUCUCUCCUAAGCUUUGGUAUUUGAGGGUUAAUGUGAUUGAAGCUCAGGAUUUGAUACCAAGUGAUAAGGGUAGGUAUCCUGAAGUUUAUGUGAAGGCCAUCUUGGGAAAUCAAGCUUUGAGGACUAGGAUUUCUCCAAGCAGAAGCCUAAAUCCCAUGUGGAACGAAGAUCUAAUGUUUGUAGCAUCAGAACCUUUUGAGGAGCCCUUGAUUUUGAGUGUGGAGGACAGAAUUGCAUCUAACAAGGAUGAAGUUCUGGGGAGAUGUGCUAUUCCUCUGCAGUAUGUGCACCGACGGUAUGAUCAUAAACCUGUGAACACUAGCUGGCACAAUCUUGAGAAGCAUGUUAUCAUAGAAGGGGAAAAGAAGAAGGAAAUCAAGUUUGCAAGCAGGAUUCAUAUGAGGAUCUGUCUGGAAGGUGGUUACCAUGUCCUCGAUGAAUCAACACACUAUAGUAGCGAUCUUCGACCGACAGCAAAACCGUUGUGGAAGUCCAGCAUUGGGGUCCUUGAAGUGGGAAUUCUGAAUGCUCAGGGGUUGAUGCCAAUGAAGACCAAGGACGGGAAAGGUACAACAGAUGCUUAUUGUGUGGCGAAAUACGGGCAGAAAUGGGUUCGAACAAGAACCAUUAUUGAUAGCUUUACUCCCAAGUGGAAUGAGCAGUACACCUGGGAAGUCUAUGAUCCUUGUACUGUCAUAACAAUUGGGGUAUUUGAUAACUGUCAUCUGCAUGGGGGAGAAAAGGCCGGAGGGGCCAGGGAUGCAAGAAUUGGGAAGGUAAGGAUUCGUCUCUCCACCCUUGAGACUGAUCGAGUUUACACACACUCGUACCCCCUUUUGGUUCUGCACCCAAAUGGUGUAAAGAAGAUGGGUGAAAUUCAUAUGGCCGUGAGGUUCACUUGCUCUUCCCUGCUUAACAUGAUGCACAUGUACUCACAACCACUGCUGCCAAAAAUGCACUAUAUUCAUCCAUUAACUGUAAGUCAGCUCGAUAGCUUGAGGCACCAGGCUACUCAGAUUGUAUCAGUGAGGCUGAGUCGUGCUGAACCUCCAUUGAGGAAUGAAGUGGUUGAGUACAUGCUGGAUGUGGGCUCCCACAUGUGGAGUAUGAGAAGAAGCAAAGCUAACUUCUUCAGGAUUAUGAAUGUUUUGGGUGGAAUAAUUGCUGUUGGAAAAUGGUUUGACCAGAUCUGCAAUUGGAAAAACCCCAUUACUACCGUACUCAUUCACAUCUUGUUUAUUAUACUGGUCAUGUACCCGGAGCUGAUAUUGCCUACAAUUUUCCUCUACCUCUUCUUGAUUGGAGUUUGGUAUUACAGAUGGAGGCCAAGGCACCCUCCUCACAUGGACACUCGUCUGUCUCACGCAGAUUCUGCACAUCCUGAUGAACUUGAUGAAGAGUUUGAUACAUUCCCUACUUCACGGCCUUCCGAGAUAGUGAGGAUGCGAUAUGAUAGGUUGAGGAGUAUUGCAGGGAGAAUUCAGACAGUGGUUGGUGACUUGGCUACUCAAGGGGAGAGGCUGCAAUCUUUACUGAGCUGGAGAGAUCCAAGAGCCACCGCUUUGUUCGUGCUUUUCUGUCUGAUUGCAGCGAUUAUCUUGUAUGUUACACCGUUCCAGGUUGUGGCUCUUCUUACUGGAUUUUAUGUGCUGAGACACCCCAGAUUCCGUCACAAGCUUCCCUCAGUGCCACUGAAUUUCUUCAGGAGGUUGCCGGCUAGAACUGACUGCAUGCUGUGAGGAGGACCGUUAUAUUUAUUUUGAGUUGCCUUUGAGUGGCAGGGCAUUCUACUUUGCGCUAUAUUGUGUUUAGUUACUCAAGAAGAUGCAGUACCUCAUUGAGCUGUUUCGUGUUGAAUGCUCAGCCGCAACGAGGAGCAUCGAGAGCGCGACGCUUCUGGUAUGAUGUAUUUAGACCUCGUCUUGAAGGUGACUAGUUUUCCGCUAAAAACUUUUAUCUAAGGUGACUAGUUUAUGUCCAUUUGUAAUUUUGUAGGCUGUGAUUGGAAUGUUGAACCAUUUUGUGCUUAAUUACUUUCUUCAGUAUUUUUGAACUCACGUUUUGUCAAGUCCAUCAGGUUGAACAUCUGUUUCGGUGUCUUUUCGGGGUUUUGGUGUGGCGAUUUGGUUUAUGUCCUUUUCGUACACAAUGACCUGUGGGAAAGAAUAAUAGUGUUGAGAUUUGAUGCGUAAUGUUUAAGAGUAGGUUAUGAAAGAACAUUGCUUGGCUCCUUAUCACGAACGAAAUCAUUCUAUUCAAAGCGCAAAAAGAAACGGUUGUGAACGUGUCGAGGUGUGAUUUGUCAGCAAGGAGGAAUGACCCGUACGAGUAAAUAAGUCGAAUAUUUUCUAUUAUUUCCAGACGAAUGCAGGCUACCUACCCUGUGAAUUUAUUAUUAUUAAGAGGAUAGAGUUUGAAAUUAUUAUAAUUAUUUAAUAUAAGGGAAUUUUAAACACGCGGCGAUAGGAGAAAAUUUAGCACAUUAUCCACUAGAAUUUUGUACCUGCGUGACAGCGAUAUAAUAUUAUGUAUAAUGCAUGCGUAUAUUAUAUAGCAUAACCAAUUUAUUAAAUGCAUGUGACGAUGUCGUGUUUGGAUAGCGACUCAAAUGAUUAAGCAAAAACAGGGACACUUGAUUUUAUGACCUAUUUAAUUCGAGUUAAGUCUAUUUUAGUUGGGUAGAAAAUUCAAGUUAUGGGGACAGACAAAGAUUGCUCAUGCAGUUUAAUCUUAUUUUUCAUCUCCUUAAUACUUGUUUCAAGAAUCAUGUCGGUUGGUUGGGUGGUGUGUCAGUUUUCUACUUUUACAAAUAAACAGAUUCAUCGUUAUAUAUCGUCUCGGUCAAAUAAUACAUACAUGACAAUGCAUUAUUAGAUGAAAACGUAUCGAUAACGAUGGAUUCAUAAGUUGUUAAUCUGCUUUCGAUUUUGAGUUCCUCUUCUCUUAAAUUAGAGUGCUUCAUUAUGGAGGGUUUAAAGUUGAAUAAUUGUAGAGUAAAAGUUACCUUAAAAUGAAUGGGCAUUUGUUUCUGAGUUCUAGGUAGGUUGGCGUACCUGUCUUAUUUAUUUUAUUUUAUUUUUUUAAUUUUUUAAUUCUUACAACUUUUCUAUGUCUUGUUUUAUUUGUUUUAUAAUUUUUAGAAGAUGUUAUAAAACUUAAAAGGACAAUGAUUUCCAAUUAUUUUCGCAUAUUAUACAUUAUAUUUUAUUUUUAGCUAUUAGAUUGAAUGAAAAACGAUAUGUGGCGAGUAUGUGUUAAUCAUUUUCCAACUUAGAACCUAAUUUAGUUUCUUAUCAUUUGUUUUGGUCGAUCUUAUUAGUUUUCUUAUCAAGAAAUAGACGUCACCCGCUCAUCGAGGAGACGAAGCAGACACCCCUCCCAGAUCUUCAAUGGCAAAAGUACCCCCACACUUUUUACCCCUGUCCGUCGGAUCUGUAAUCUUAACAGUAAAAAAAAGUCAUUUAGGAGUCUGUGUGGGCCGUUUGAGUGUAGGCCUGAUCCAAGCCGGAGGCCACAUUGGACCAAAAAGCAGCAACCCAAACCAGAAUGGCAAAACGGUAAAUAAAUCCAAAUCAACACUUUUUUUUAAGAAUGGCAAAAUGGUAAAUAAAUCAAAAUCAAUCCAAUUUCACUGUAGCUUAUGAAUAGUACUAGUUUCUCCCCAACUGAAGACUAAAGUAAUGAUAAACUUGGAUUGGACUUCCAAAAUAAUUUUUAUAUAACAAUAUUUUACAUUACGGUAUGAGGGUAUUUGACGCAAAUUACAUAAUGGACCUAACACAAUAAUGUGAUAUCAAAUUCAUCAGUUAGGGGGCUCAAAUCUAAUAGUAGACCGUAUCAUUAGUGACAUUCUUUUUCUUUGAUAAAAACGGCACACUAAUCUAACCUAAUACGAAUUGUUGGAGAAAAAUUCAAAUUUGGAUGCAUGAAAAAAUACAUAUAUGCUCUAGUUAAUGUGACUAUAUUCACAUCAGUGACCUCUUUCUCAUUCUCUCUUUAAUUUCCUUCUUGGACACUCUACAUUGCCUAUGCACUCAUGUACAACACCAAACACAUUCAUUCUUACCCUAAAAAACACUCAUUCUUUUUUCUAGUGAGAGACAUUUGAGUUGGGUAGGUGGUUAGCUAUUUGCGCAUGUAAGUAGGUAAAGUAUAUGGGCACAUAAAGGUUAUGGCCCUGAAUAUUAAGGUUUGAAUAAUGUUAGGAAAAUCAAAUUUGUAAACUAAAUGAUGUGUCAUCAAUAAAAAAUAAGUUAAUCAAUAUUUAAGUAUAAUUCAAUUAUCAACAUCCACAUAGUUUAGUUUACAAAAUUUAAUUUCUUUAGCAUUAUCCGGUUUGGAAACCCUUACACUAUGUUUGGAUGAAGAAAUUUAAGAUUACUACGGAAUUUUAAAAUGACGGAAAUUAAAAUGAAGGGAUUUUAUUUUCUAGAAUUGUGAAUUUUGUUGUUUGGUUAACUUAAAAGAACAAUGGAAUUGAAAACGGAAUUUGUUAAUUUUAAACUCCCAAUCAUAGAAAUUGGGAAAUGACACUUAUUUACAUGGAAUUUAAACUUGGAAAUUGGAGGCCCCAAAUUCCAAGUUUUUUUUCACGCAGAAAUUCUAAAUUUCUAUGUUAUAAAUCCAAACAAGGGAAUUGGUGCAUGUCAAUUUAUAAAUUCUGAGUUUUAUUUAAAUUCCAAGUUUAUUUCCCUUAUCCAAACAGACCAUUAAGGUUUUGGCACCUUAGUUUGAGAUAAGUUCUUGAGUCUUUUUAAAUAUAAAAAUAAGGAUGUCAUAUAUCACUAGAUAACUUAUCAUAAAAGAAGAUCUUUGUAUAUUCACUUCCACCAAAAAAUUGACAGUAUUGGUUGUUUUUUUUUUCCAGGUGAAAUAAUAUUACGAAGAAGAUAUUGCUCUUACCAUAUAUCCGACUAGAAAUCUUGUUACCUAUUCAAAAUGUUACCUUGGAAAUAUUUAAAUAUUGAUGUGCUCUCGUGGCUUUGGGAGUGUUUUGUUAUUCACAUACCACUUUUUACCUUUUACACGCUCUUCUUAAUUUAUAAUCGUCGGAUUGAAUUAAUUGAAAAUGAUCAAAAGACAAAAAUUCACAAAAAAAUGUAUAAAAGGUUAAAAUGAAUGUGUAGAUAACACUACAUUUUUUUUUUCUAAAUGAAAACAACUAAUAUUACAACGCAUAUCCACGCAUAGGAUGAGCGGUAUCAUCCGUCCCAUUGAUAAUGUGAUCAAUAGAAUUAUGAUUUAACUAUAUUUGUUCUAAAAAUAAAAAUAAAAGACAAUUUUUUUAUUUAAAACAAAAAAAGUAUCAGUGCAAUGCAACGAUGUUUGGUACGUGGGACGGGACGGGACGGAACGGGACGAGGCGUUCCGUCCCGCGUUUGGUGCGCCAAAAAUGGGUGGAACGGGCUGUUCCACGGGACAGAUUUUGGGUGUUUUUACGUCCCACCUCCUCCCCCUGGAACGGGUUUGUUCCACGUCUGUGGAACACAAUGUUUUACCAUUUUAAGACAAAUAUACCCCAUGUCUUUUUCAAAAAUUACACCUUCGUUCCGUCCCGUCCCUUCCCGUUCCGUCCCGUCCCGUCCCGUUCCGUCCCGUCCCGUCCCGUCCCGUUCCGUCCCGUCUGCGUACCAAACGCACCCUAAUGCAACGAUGUUUUGAUUACGAAGAUUUUAUUUAAUUGUGCAGUUAACGCACAAAAAACAAGACAAGGACAAAAAUCCCCAUGGUGGAUUAGGGUUCAGUCAUUUAUUCUCUUUCAAACAAACAAAACAAAACAAAAGGUCAUUUGUUCCCAUGCACGCAUGCAUCCAAAUACGCAUGUUAGUUUUUGUAUGACUUAACAUUUUUUAGUGCAUACACAUCUCAUCCAGAAGCCAGUACAUUUGCCUCCCAUAAAUCCCUCUUUUUUGCAUGUAGUUGCACAAUUGCUUGACCUGAAGCAAAUACCGUGGUAUUUAUGGCUUGGAGACUCACAUGUCUUCGACGACUUCUCAUUCUUCGAUGACUUCUCUUUUGUCUUCCCCUCAGCAACCAUUGGAUCCGUUCCUGCCAAACAUGCAUCGAUAUAUCAACCCAUAAAAUCCUGGUUUUCUUUUUCAUCACCGGGAGAAUGAGUAUUCGAACUCAAAACUUCUUUCAAUCUAUAAUUUUAUUUCAUUGUUAGGCAUAAAGAUGAAGUUAAGAUGAGGAAAGAGAAAGGUACCAAUAGCCACCAGAAGGAGGAGGAGGAUGAAGACAGUCGAAAACAAACGCUCGGAACGCUCCAUCUUGACUUUCUGGGUGCGUGAGUGAUCUUUGCACGUGUGUGAAAUAAGUGAGAUAAAGAGAGAGCUGUUGAUUCAAAGAAUUAACUUUGAAGGUCUUUAUAUAGCAUUUGUAUGAAAAUUUUUUUAAGUGUAUUUCCGUAAAGGGCGUUCCAUGGUAAAUAUGGAGAGGUUGAAUAAAAUGUUAGCUCCGAGAGGCAAGAACAAAACCCUAUUUUAGCUCAUCAUUUUUUGGCAUCCUACAUUUGAUGAGAGAUAGUGGCUCUAUUUCUCCUCAAUUGGAAAUAUUGCUUUUUCAGGGUACAAAGGAGGAGUUCGAACUUUGAAUUUUUAGCCUAUUUCUGCAUAUCACCCCUCUCACCCUCACCACUAGACUAUAACCCAGUUGAAAUUGAAAUGUUACAUUGUUGAAAUUGUUCCUACAUUUUCCCUAUCACAAUUGUCUCUUUCAGUGUUUUUUUUUUCAAGCACAUGUAUUUGAUUUUUAUUUUACUUAGUUUUAUACAUAACCUUUUUUUAUGGGAAAAGUCUUUAUGGCCAAAUCGAAAGGUGGAUUAAUACUUCAAGCGUUUGCUUAGUUCCAUGAGAAUCAAACCCUCCUCUUGGAAUGCUAUAUUUCAUUGUUAGAAUUUGCAUGGUCAUAAUUGAUUUGGUUGUUAUCUAAACUACAUAUCAAUAGAAUUCUGAUUGUCAACCAAAAUUCUAUAAAAUCAGCAUUCUAACCCUCUAACCAAAACAUAACAAAAAUAAAAAUUGGGGGCAAUAUAGUAAUUACAUGAACACGAAAUUUACUUUUUUUUACAUGAACCUCAUAAUUAUGUAAUAAUAACAUGUUUAUUUAAAACUUAAAACUUAAAUUAAAAAUGGCAUAUAUAUACACAUCGCCAUCUCUCAUACCCAUGUAUAUCACACUAUUCUUUCUUAGAACUACAUCCGUGGUUUGAUUCUCCUUUUGGAAGAUAUGCAGGCAGUCCAAUCUAGAUACAACCACACCCCUCAUCAACCAAAAAAAAAAACUCAUCUACCACAAUCAAUGCCUGUGAUAGAUUGCAAUAUACCGCGAACACUGUGCCCGUUAGUAAUCUAUAUGUGAUAAAGAGUCUCAUUUUCUACCAUGGGUCUUGUCCGUUGUCAAAUGCAAUAUAACCACGGAUUGUGCUUGUCGUAGAUCCAAGGUAUUAAAUAUCGGAAAUAUCGGUAGUCCGAAAAUGCGGAAAUAUCAAUGGAAAUAUCGGGAUAAUAUCGAUAUCGAUAAAAUUACAUGGAAACCACGGAAAUUGUAAGAAAAACUUGGAAAUUUUUAUUGAAACUUUGCAGGAUGUUUAU